rnacentral:lncRNA from 1 species
GAUUUAUUUAUUGUUUCUCAUAUAUUUGUAUAAACACAGUACAUUAUUUUGCCGCUCAAAGCAGAAGAGCAGAAGAUACAAUGAUUUAGUUUUGCUCACAACACUACAUAGGAACUCAAUACAAUAUUCACUAAACACUUGUGAAAAGUGCAGAAAGGUACUAAUAGGGUGUCCUAUCAGAAGACACGGUGACUUUAUCUUUACUCACAAUACAGUAAUUUUACCCACAACAAAACCUAGGAACUAAAUGCAAUUGCAAAAUCGGUACUAAGAAGGCAGACUACCAAUGCCCUUUAUGAAGGUUUCCAUGAAGACAGUGGAAUCUUCAUAGGUAGGAGUGACACCCCCAUAUCGAUGACCCCUUACAGCAUCUGCUGAAGCAAUGGAUUUAAGCUCAGCAAUUUCUUCCGGAGUUAGUUUCACUGACAGAGCUUUAAUAUUUUGAUUCAGGUUUUCAAUCUUGGUGGUAUAUUUUGAUUCAGGUUUUCAAUCUUGGUGGUUCCAGGAAUUGGACACACAUCAUCUCCUUGGUGAUGAACCCAUGCUAAUGCAAGCUGAGAUGGGGUGCAUCCUUUCUUUACAGCUAUUUCAUUAACACGUUCAAAUAGCUUUUUGUUAUGCUCUAAAUUUUCAGGUUGGAACCUAGGUAGAAGCUGCAAGAUUUAGAAAACAGCUCAGUACCAAAAGUGAACUGUAAUUGAAUCAUUAAAAAAGAACAUCAUUUUGGAUAAAGCAUGAUUUUAGAGGAGGUUUAAGUAAAAUUCAAUAGACCAGAAAAUAAGGAAAAAGGACUAGUUGAGGGACUUCUCCUAGGCAGAGGAUGUCUAUAGUAAAACAUUUUGGAAUGUUAGAUGUUUUCAACAUAUUUUGGGGUAGGAAAAUCCAAAAUCUAUCUUAAACAAUGAAUUUAUAUUUUUCGGGGAGAUGGGGUACCUCACUGGUUUGUUGUGUGCGGUGCGGUGUAUCUGAAGUUCGGGGGAGGUGAGAAGGGGAGAGAGAGUGGUAACAAUGGUGGAAGGUUAGAAACAAGAGAGGUGUCCUUCAAAAUGAGCUUCACGCCUGCAAAACAGUGAAAUAGAGGUUAGAGGUGAAGCCGGGGUACCCCGGCGUUCACACUCCGACGCUCAAGUUAGCAAACUCAAGCUUUUAUGGCAAAGAGAGCUAGCUAGCCCUCUGUAAAUUAGGGUUUAAGGUUGAAGAAAACCUUUUUUUUGGAGUGUGAGUGUUUUGGGGCGAAUGAGAGCAUGAUGGAGAAUGAAACCUAGGCGCCUUUAUAUAUGGAGUACCUUAGCUGCCACGUGGCGUACCCUUUUUGGCUAACGUCCUUUUACCGCUUUUAUGAUUCUUGGGGCCGUUAUGUGCAUGUUCGCGGCGUAUCUCAUCUUUUGGAAACGUGGCGCGCGCUGGAGAGUGGUCCGGGGUACCUCUGCAGUAGCUGUUGGGUAGGCGGCUAGGGACCACUGUCCUUGGGACAGUGUCCUUCACUUUUGGCAGAGGUAGCAGGCGACUGUCCCCCCUUUUGAUACGACGUUAUUGAUUCAUAAUUCUGACAAAAUCAAAUAAUAUCUUUUAGGAGGCGGAGACGUUUCUCAUGGCGGAUAUUUUCGGAGGUACCUCGAGUUACGUGGGGUACCUCUAAUUGUACGGGGUACCUCUAGUUACGUGGGGUACCCCCUAUUACGCGGGGUACCCCUAUUUGUAUGAGGUACCUCAUAUUAUAUGGGGUACCUCUAUUUGUGUGGGAUACCCCUAAUUGUACAGGGUACCUCUAUUUACACGGUGUUCCUCAAGUCAUGCCGGGCACCUCGGAUUGUGCAGGGUACCCUCCGAUUGUGCUGAAAUCAUUCCAUUGGUUGACACGUGGCGCUCUAUUGCCUUUCCUAUUUUUCCCUCAAACAACAUCCCCUAGUUUCUUUUUGGCGAGAAGUAUUGGAGGCAAAAGAAACUCAUUGUAUGAGUGAUACGUGCCGACGCGGUUGGACCGGAGGGUACCUUGCUUAGCUUCUUUCCUUGACUAAACUUUGUGUACUUCGAACUAAAAAUCUUCUCUUUGUCUUUUCGUUUUCCCGCUUUUUUUUUUUUUUUUUUUUGACGAUGAGAACGAACAGUUGUCUUCAUAUGCCUCUCUCCUUUUUCUUGGGAAGUGGCAGCCGUCUGACACGCAGUUUGAAUUUUGAAAAUACAAAUCUCACUCAAACAUCCCUGAACUCCUUUCUUGGGCAACGUGUUCUGUCAGGUUGAAUUUAAAACUCCUGACGUGUGUCAAAAUUUUGACAAUCCCCAAACGAACUCCAAAAAAUUGAUUAUUUCCAGUAGCCUUUUUCUUCCAUAAUUUCGUCUCCUCUUCGAAAUGCAUCAACAUCAUCACGUUAAAAAUAAGAAUUUCUUUACUUUUUUUUUUUUUUUUUUUUUUUACGCUCGUUCAUCUUCCCUAGGCUCUAUUCUCCCUUUACUCUUUUUCUUUUAUUUCAUUCUUCUUCCGUUUUCUUUCUUUCCCAUUUUCUUUCUCCCUUUUCUUUCUCACGUUUCUCCUUCCUUUUUCUCUCUUUUCCUUCUUCCUUUUCUUUCAUUCUUUUUUCUCUUUCUCUCUCGGCCGGCGUUGAUCUAGUACGUUUUCCGGCGUGGAUCGCGGCUGCUGCAGUGGCGGUUUUGGGCUCCAGAUCUGGUCGGUUCAAGGCGAUUUUCGGCGGCUCACGGCGAGAUCUCAGUCCGGCGAUACACACGGUAACCCCUCCUUCAUCGUUUCUUCAUUUUUCCCUUGGUGCUUUCUCUCUUCCUUCCCUUGUCUUCUCUCUUUUUCUUCUCUUUUUUUUCUUUUCUCUUUUUCGUUUCGGCUUGUGUUUUUCUCUGUGAUUUCCGGCGUCGGUUUGGUGUGGUUGCGGCCGGCGUCGGUUCGGUGGCUGCAGCCGCGGCAGCCGGCUUCGGUUUGGUGGUUUCCGGCGUUAGUUUAGCGGCUGCUGCUUCUCGGUUUUUCUCUUUUUUUUUUUUUUUCGGCCGACGUCCUCCUUUGCAUUUUUCCGGCGUCGGUUCUUCUUGAUGGCGGCAGCUGCGGCGAUCGGCGUCAGUUCGGUGGCUGCGGCGGUCGGCGUCGGUUCUUUUUUUUUUUUUUUUCGGCCGACGUCCUCCUUUGCAUUUUUCCGGCGUCGCUUCUUCUUGAUGGCGGCAGCUGCGGCGAUUGGCGUCGGUUCGGUGGCUGCGGCGGUCGGCGUCGGUUCUUUUUUUUUUUUUUUUUUUCGGCCGACGUCCUCCUUUGCAUUUUUCCGGCGUCGCUUCUUCUUGGUGGCGGCAGCUGCGGCGAUCGGCGUCGGUUCGGUGGCUGCGGCGGUCGGCGUCGGUUCUCGGUGGUUGCAGCCAUUACAGCCGACGCCGGUUACUGCAACUUCUUCGUUCUUCAUUUUAUUUAUUUACUUAUUUAUAAAUAAGUACAUAUAUUUAAGCUUUAUUCUUUAUUUUUAUACUUGCAUAUUUUACCCACUGUUUUUAGUUGCCUGCAGCUUCGUCUCCCCGCGAUUGUCAAUCCUGAUCUGUCGAAUUGGUGAAUCAUAGGUAUCCCUUCUUGUUUCUCCUCUUUUGGCGCAUUCACAGUGGCGCUAUUUUGCUUACUCUAAGAAAAAUUUAUUUUUAUUUUUGUUGUUUUUGUUUUUUUUGUUGGUUGGUGUUUGCAUUUGGUGGUUGAUGUGUGAUGGAUGGUGCUUGGUAUGGAUAUGUUGUUGUUGGGAAAACAUGUGGCUUGUUGGAUGUGUUGUUGGGGGCUUGUGGAUGUGUUGUUGGAUGUAUCGUUGGGUGUAUUGUUGGGGGAAAGUAGAUGGGUAAGAAACACACGGGACCCGUGAUGAAGCGACGUAAAGUUGGGGCUAGUAGGGUUGACAGCCCUCCUGCGGGUUCCCCUUCCCACAUCUCCAUUAGCGAGGGGGAUUGGUCCCCUCCUAGUUCCUCCAAGAGUUGUAAUUCUCGUUCUGAGCCCCCUCCCCCUAGGAGUACUCCUCGUGUCAGCCCACGCUUUCCUAGUAAACGACCUACCCCCAAUCCUCGAAAGAAGGGUAAGUCAACCAAGCCUAAGGUUCCAGCUCGUUCCUCGGACCAGCCGCCUAAAUCUCCCCCUGCCACACCUUCAAAAUCUAGCAACCCUUUUUCCCUAGGCAUUAGGAGGGCUACUUUGGGGGACUUAGAGCAAAUUAGAGCCAAAUACAAUAUUCCUCCGUCUGUCCAGCUCAGGGUACCCCAUGUGGAUGAGAGACCCGAGUGUCCACAGUCUGAUGGGAUUGCUCUCCAUAUCGACCUCUUCGAUCUAGGACUCCGCCUGCCCCUCCAACCAUUCUUUAUGAAAAUGUUUAGUUAUUUGGGGGUAGCUCCUGGGCAGCUGUCUCUUCUAAGGUGGAGGACACUGACGGGCUUACAUGUGUUAUGGUUGGAGGUCGUGAAGCGCGACAUUUCUGUUCGAGAGUUGAGGGGCCUUUACCAAUUCAAGAAACCUAAGGGUCCCGCCAUUGCUUACUUCUCCUCCUAGGGUGAUCAUGGCCACAUCGUUGAGGGGAACCCCGCCUUGAAGAAGGGUUACCGAAAGGGAUGGUUUGUCGCUGAGGGUAGGUGGGGGGCAGAGACUCUAGGUGAGAAGGGCGACCCCGUGGAGGUUCCCCAUUCCUUCAAUGUAGACUGUAAGUAUCUCCCUUACUUAUGGUUCUUUAUCGGAAUCUUUCGCCUGAAUGUCUCGCUAACCUUGAGUUCUUUAUGCUUUCGCAAGUGUGACAUGGGCUAAAGGAUCAUGCCCAGUUCAGGAGGUGGGGAGAGAGGUGAAGAAGUUUGUGGACAGGCUUCGAGGUGCACAAAGGGGUAGUGAUGUGCUAGAUGAGAGCCGAUUGUGGAGAGCGGGGCUGAUUGACCGAAGUCCUCCGCCUGCUCCUGGGGGUGACUCAUGUAUGAUUUGGGUGUCGGGGGGGGUAUCCUAUUAUUACUUAUGGGACUGGGGUACCCCAUUAUCAUUGCAUUCUUCGUUUCGCGUCCCCGCUUUCCAUUUCCUAUUUUUUACUUUUGCAGUACUUAGUACUUGUCCAGCUAACAUAACUUUUGUGCAUUGGGUGCAGUCAUGGAAUCGACGGGUGACGCUUUCGACGCCUUUUUCCAGGCAGUAGUGGGCGGUGCUUCCGGAUCUCAGGAUUCGGCGGUACCCCCGAAAGGCUCCCAACCUCCUCGAGCUCCCGGUCCGAAGGGGAAGUCUCAGGGUACCUCCCACAGCGGGUCGAAGGGUACCCCUCGCUCGAAGAAGAGAAAAUUCGGGCUGGUUUCCGCUUUCCCCGAGGAGUUGCGCGAAGGUGACCUAGACCCGACUUCCAACAAGGAGGUUUCGCACUUGGCUCGCUGUUUCUACUACUCCGCUGAAAAUGUUACCUCCGAGGUUGCUGAGGAGACUGACAAGAUGAGUUUGAGCCAACGCUAUAGUCAAGCACUUAGGGCUACCCAAGAGGUAGGCUUUCCCGGGAUACCCCGGGUGUACCCUUCAAAAAAUUUUUUUUUUUUUACUUGAUCCUAUUGCCACACGUAUAUAUUUAACGUGUCUUUUAUGACCCGCAGGCAUCUUUUCUCCUCAGCCACUGCCUUCCAGACCUUGACUCUCUCGUUGCCGCCCAGUCAGAGGUCGACAAGUUAAGGGGUGAGCUCCAAAGCCGUCAGUCUCGCGAGGAUCAGCUUGCUCCAGAAGUUAAAACUCUGCAAGAACGCAUUGCUGGCCUGUCGGGAGAGAAAGCUAAGGUGGAGAAGGACUGUGAGGAGUUGAGGGCCACCAACGGGGAUCUGCUAUCUCGGCAAAAGACGAUGGCGGAGGAUGCAUUCUCACUCAUCAUGACGGAGGUGUGGAGUGUGGAUCCGGAGUUGGAGGUACCCCGGGUGCAGAAAUUUGUCAACAAGGCUACGAUUCUAAAGACAAUUGCAGAGAGGAAGAAGCCUUCCCAGGCACGGUCGGGUACCCCCUCCGAGUCGCCUCGGGUACCCCAUCAGCUUUAGCCGUUGCCUGCUUCGGAUGCCCCUAGUUCGGCUGCUCAUAUUCCGGGUACAUCGGAGUCCUCUGCUGAUCGCCCUCUGGAGACGGAUGUUGGGGAUGGCGUUCCCCCUUCAGUGUAGCCUUCUCACUGUGCUCUUGUUUUUUUUUUUUUUUUUCGGACCUAUCCACAUUUUGCUAUUUGGACCUUGUUUCUUUCUUUUUGGUUUCUCGAGAUAUUUUGUAUUAUUGGGACUUCUCUUUUGUUAUGAUACCAUGCCAUCGAGUUCUCUUGUACUUUGCAUGCUUGUUAUUCUGCAAAUGAAUGCUUGACUAAACUGUUACCUUGUAAAUGUCUAGGGUACCUCUUUUUUUUUUUUUUUUGAAAUGGGGUACCCCUGGUACCUUAACAAAUAUCCAACAUCAGGCGGAUUCCCUACAAAUGUGGUGCAUGUCCUUCUCGGAAACUAUGGCGGAUUCCCCACAAAUAGGUAAUCAAAAUAUCAUCGCGACAUCUCGAUCAAACGUUGAAAGCGCAAUUGGUCCAACCAAUCACUUUCUUAUUCUUUCGAAGUUUUCUCCGAAUUUUUUGAAUAGCUUACCCCAUACUUUGCAAAAGUACGAGGACGGAGGUGUAGGUGUUCUCAUACCUAAGCCGAACUUCGUGCCGCUAGGGUAUGCCGGUUUUUCUUCACCCUCGGGUCCUCUCUGACCCUCCCUCUCUUUGUUUAGGUAGCUUUAUCAUGCUUCCGCAGAAAGGCUACCCCCGGGCUGUUCCCUCCGUUGCCCAUCUUGGGUUUACAUAUAUCGUCACGAUCUAGGCAUAUCAGGUACCCUGGCUGGUCCUGCGAUAGGUUAGUCAUAAUUGACAAACGUAUGGCGAGAAUUGCAUAUUACCAGAUGCGAGGGUAUAUUAAUGGCGAUAAAUGAAUAUAAUCCGCACUCUAAGAUCGAAGUGGAGAAAAAUAAAUAAAGAACCCACAUCAUAUUUGUUGAGAAAGAACAUGCAUUUAUGGAUAACGAAAGCGUUGAUCAAUACAUGACUUAGCUUUGUUACCCUGAGGAGAAUGGGAGACCGCAAGACCUCCUAUCCCUUUCAUUUGACAAUUAAAGAAACUCUAAAGUUGCAACUGACCAACAUAGGGCAUUUGGGGUACCCUAUUUGGCCUACCACACAAAAACAUUAAAGAAAGCAAAUAACAGCAAAAGACUAAAGGUUGAGACACUGUCCUUUAGUAAUAUUUCCGUAGCAUUACAGCGUUCCAAGGGUGCCUCACAAUUGUGCCAUCCAUGUGGAGUAGCCUGUAUGCACCUGUCCUAACGGGUUUGUCAAUGCGGUAAGGUCCUUCCCAAUUUGCCCCAAAAGUGCCUUCACAGGGUACCCUAGUGUUCUGAGUUACCCUUCUCAAGACCAAGUCUCCUUUCUUGAAUGACCGAGGGCGUACCCUUUUUUCGUAUAGACCCGAAAUGCGAUGCUGAUAUAUGGCUGUCCUCAGUUCUGCUCUAGCUCUUUUUUCAGCCACUAAAUCAAGGUUUGAAGCAACCAAUGAGGUGUUCUCGGCCUCAUCAAAGUAUUCAACCCUGUAAGAGGGUACCCCAAUUUCUGCUGGAAUCACUGCGUCAACACCGAAUGCGAGGGAAAACGGGGUCUCCCUGGUGGAGGUGUUUUGAGUAGUUCGGUACGCCCACAGUACCCCAGGUAGCUCGUCUACCCAUGCUCCCUUUCUUUUUUCUAGCUUCUUCUUCAGGAUACCUUUGAUAAUCUUGUUAACGGUUUCGACUUGCCCAUUAGAUUGGGGUGAGCAGGUGUAGCAAAUCGGUUGGUUAUCCCCAACUCCGAACAAAAGCUUCGAAAUUUUUCAUUAUCGAAUUGCUUACCAUUAUCACUGACAAUUGCAUAGGGGAUUCCAAAUCUGCAAAUGAGGUUCUUCCAAAUGAAUUCGGUGGUUUUCCUUUCUGUGAUGCUUGUUAGUGGCUCUGCUUCCGCCCAUUUUGUAAAAUAAUCUACCGCCACGAUUGCAUGUUUUGCUUGCCCCUUUCCAGUAGGUAACGGUCCAAUGAGAUCCACUCCCCAUAUAGCGAAGGGCCAAGGGGAAGAUAUAACUGUUAGCUUCUCUGGAGGUAGGUGGGGUACCCUGGCGAACCUUUGGCAUUUGUCACAGCUUCGUACCAUAUUCUUGGCAUCUUCCCGCAUAGUUGGCCAGUAGUACCCCUGACGGAGGGCUUUUUGCGCCAAUGAUUGUGCUCCAUAGUGAUUGCCACAAAUCCCCUCAUGUAUCUCCCUCAUGACAUACUCGGCCUCGUCGCUUCCCAAGCAUUUAAGGUAAGGAAGAGUGAAACCUCUUCUGUAUAAGGUAUCCUGGAUCAGGCAAUACCGGGCGACUUUAUAUUUUAAUCUCCUUGCUUCACUUUUAUCUGAGGGGAGGUCUCCGUCCUUGAGGUACCUUAUGAUAGGCUCCAUCCAAAGCACCUCGUUGGACAGCGAUCCUACUUCCAAUGGGGAUUUGGUUGUACCCGGAGAAGGUGACCCCGAAUGCACAUUUUUCAGGGUGAUGAAGGCCGUUUUCUCUUGAUCGGGUUCGUACAUCGGGAUUUGGUUGUACCCGGAGAAGGCGUCCAUAAAACUAAGCAUCUCAUGCCCCGCUGUUGCAUCAACCAGCUGGUCCACCCGGGGAAGCGGGAAGCUAUCCUUGGGGCAGGACUUGUUCAAAUCGGUGAAGUCCACGCACAUACGCCACUUUCCGUUUGAUUUCUUGACAAGAACAAUGUUGGAUACCCAAUCGGGGUACACUACUUCCCGGAUAAAUCUCGCUGCUAAUAGGCGGUCUACCUCUUGUUCAAUUGCAUCGUACCUCUCUUGGUUGAAGGCGCGACGCUUCUGUUUGACUGGUUUAUUAUGUGGGCUGACAUUGAGUUUGUGACAAGAGAGAGAAGGUGGGAUACCCGGCAUAUCCGAGUGGGACCAAGCGAAUACAUCGUGGUGCUCACGUAGGAAGGUGAUGAGUUUCUCUCUUUGUUCCUCCGAGAGGUUGGAGCCUACUUUCACCGUCUUUGUUGGGUCGGUGGCACAAAUCGAGACUGAAAUAAGGUCUUCAACUGGGGUACCCCUUUUUUCAUCUUUCAAUAUUCGGGGAUCCAAAGGUGCCUCAACUUCACAUCUGGGCUCCUCCUGGUCCCUGUGGGGUACCCUCGAGCUAUCCGCCGCAACUGCUUCUACACUCAUUGGUGAGGAUUCCAACUGCUCUCGUGGGUGGGCUACCUGAGGAGAUUUUUUUAGCACUGCUCUCCGCUGUCUAGCAAGUGCUCGCUUUGAGGGGAAAGGUGUGGGCUGGCUGCCACUGGGGUAUCCCUUCAUUGGCGGAUUGGAAGCUAUUUGGUAAGUGACUUUGGAGGUCACGGAAUAACAUCCACGAGCCGAUUGCUGGUCCCCUUUAAUAGUGAUAACUUCUUGGGCGGCUGGGACUUUCAUGGCGAGGUAGUGCAUGGAUACCACCGCUUUAGUUGCUACUAAAAACGGCCUACCCAAUAUAAUAUUGUAGGCACCCGGGUGAUCUACAAUAAGAAAAUCAAUCAUAUGAACGACAUGGUGAGGUACCUUACCAAGUGUAACAGGCAGCGUAAUGAUGCCUUUUGGUAUAACCAUAUCUCCGGCGAACCCAAUGAGAGGCGUAGCAUAGGGGGUGAUCUUUGGCGACUCAAUCAAUAGUUGAUCCAAGGCGCUUUUGAAAAUGAUGUCAACGGAGCUGCCGGUAUCUACGAGAGUUCUUGCUACCUUACCAGUGGCAACCUUCAACGUAAUUACAAAGGCAUCGUCGUGGGGGUACGAGAUGCCCUCCGCAUCUUUUUCUGUAAAAAGGAUAGGCGGGGGAUGGUGGGGUACCUUUGGUGUACCCCAUUGAUUAAGGUUGACUUCUCUGCCCAUAUCGGUGGUUAUCGACAACGAUCUACCAUAGCCUUUGAUAGCCCUCCUAGAUUGGCCCGCCAAGGUCGGUCCGCCCAUGAUCAUCCGAACAUACACGCCUUUCUUAUGUCCAGGGGGUACUUCUCGUUCAGGACUGCCAUCAGCUACCCGCUUGCCCUUAUCCUGCUCCGCGGAUUUCCUCAUGCCAGCAACAAAUUCUUUGAGGUACCCGCUGAGAAUCAAAGAUUCAAUUUCCUCUCGCAAGGUGAAACACUCGGCUGUGCUGUGACCAAAGUCUUCAUGGAACUCGCAAUACUUCAGACUACGCUUCAUGUUGGGGUACUUCUUCAUUGGCUUAGGAGGACGGAGGAGGCCGCUAUCCCGAAUAUGGUAGAAGAUCUGCUCUGGGGAUUGAUUCAGUGGGUGGUAAGAUUCGUACCGAGGCCUCGGUGGUGGCUCUCGCUAAUCCGGUGGUGGCGGUCUUGGAGGUUGGGGUACCCUUAAGGUACCCUGAGGGUUGUACCCCCGUCCUCGCGGGGCAACCCGUGGAGGGCUCCGUGGUUGGGGUACCCUCGGUAUUGGGGCCUCCAUCCUUUUAGGCUUUUCCUUGUUCUUUGUAACAUCGGCCUUAUCUUCUUGGCGCUUCAAUUGACAUUUUUCGUCCAUCUCCACCUGCUGCAACGCCCGGGAACGGGCUUCCCCAUAUGAAAGUGGGCGCUUCUUUUGAAAAGAACGCCAUAAUUUGCCCAGCCUCAAAUUUUUCUCAAAAUGGGUCAAUGUGUAUUGGUUUCCAAAUGCUCCGGUUUGCAGCACCUCUUGGUGGAAACGACUCACAUACUCCGCCAAAGGCUCGGCUUCCCCUUGCUUGAUAAAGGCAAGUUUGAAGGCUACCCUAUCUUGGGUGGAUGCAUAGGAAAACUCUUUAGUAAAUUCAGAUAGCAAUUGGUGUAAGGAAGAUAUGCUACCCGCUUUCAAAGAGCGAAACCAUGACUUCGCGGGGCCCGUGAGUGUGUGUGUAAACAUCCUACACAUGGCGCUCUCAUCUACACCCUUGAUAAGCAUUUGGUCGCGGUAUAACUCAGCAUGCUCUGAGGGAUCAGUGGUACCAGAGUAUUGGGGUAUCUGAGGCAUGGCGAACGCCUCGGGGAGAGCUGCCGUCCUAAUCUCCAUAGUGAAUGGUGACUGGUAGGUCAGUGGCGUUGGUGCAGCUGUGAUGUUUUGCUUCUCGGAGAGGAGCUUCACUUGGGCUUCCAGGUUCUCCAUCUUUUCUACAAGUUCGAGGGGUACCCUCGGUGUACCCGAUGAUGUCGCCGCCAUUUGAGAAGCCCUUUUGGCGUUUAGCUUCUCACGGAGAUCCUCGUGGGUACGCUUUGCACGCCUCGUACCCUGGCUGCUGCGGGAAUUGCAAGAGGCGGUGGAACGCUCGUCGCGAGAGCCCACGGUUUGAAACUUAGAACGGGUACCCGAUGGCCUAGGCUUUGGCUUGCUGGCCUCGGGUACCCCUCUUCUGACCAUAGCUUGGUCGUCCGUUUGAGGUGGUGGAGCUUCUAGCGUCACUGGUGGAAGCCAACUUUCGGGUGCUCGAGAUCCGACCGCCCUAAGUAUUGCGUGGGCAAGAUCCUCAAAACGCUUGUGCGAAAUAGGUUCCUCUUCUUGGCGAACACCCGUCGAUUGCUUGAUACCUUUGCCCUUGCUGACGCGGGCUACCCUUCUUGUGGGAUCACUACCUUCACUGCUGCUGUCAUCUCUCAUCCUUGUAGGAUCCCCCAUUAAACCUUCGGGAGGUACGUCGGGUGCCAUGUAUUGGAGUACACACAACAACUAGUUUGGUAACCGCGAAGGAGGCUUUUUGUGCGAAUCCCCACAGACGGCGCCAAUUGUUUUCAACAGAUUUUGGGGUAGGAAAAUCCAAAAUCUAUCUUAAACAAUGAAUUUAUAUUUUUCGGGGAGAUGGGGUACCUCACUGGUUUGUUGUGUGCGGUGCGGUGUAUCUGAAGUUCGGGGGAGGUGAGAAGGGGAGAGAGAGUGGUAACAAUGGUGGAAGGUCAGAAACAAGAGAGGUGUCCUUCAAAAUGAGCUUCACGCCUGCAAAACAGUGAAAUAGAGGUUAGAGGUGAAGCCGGGGUACCCCGGCGUUCACACUCCGACGCUCAAGUUAGCAAACUCAAGCUUUUAUGGCAAAGAGAGCUAGCUAGCCCUCUGUAAAUUAGGGUUUAAGGUUGAAGAAAACCUUUUUUUUGGAGUGUGAGUGUUUUUGGGCGAAUGAGAGCAUGAUGGAGAAUGAAACCUAGGCGCCUUUAUAUAUGGAGUACCUUAGCUGCCACGUGGCGUACCCUUUUUGGCUAACGUCCUUUUACCGCUUUUAUGAUUCUUGGGGCCGUUAUGUGCAUGUUCGCGGCGUAUCUCAUCUUUUGGAAACGUGGCGCGCGCUGGAGAGUGGUCCGGGGUACCUCUGCAGUAGCUGUUGGGUAGGCGGCUAGGGACCACUGUCCUUGGGACAGUGUCCUUCACUUUUGGCAGAGGUAGCAGGCGGCUGUCCCCCCCUUUUGAUACGACGUUAUUGAUUCAUAAUUCUGACAAAAUCAAAUAAUAUCUUUAAGGAGGCGGAGACGUUUCUCAUGGCGGAUAUUUUCGGAGGUACCUCGAGUUACGUGGGGUACCUCUAAUUGUACGGGGUACCUCUAGUUACGUGGGGUACCCCCUAUUACGCGGGGUACCCCUAUUUGUAUGGGGUACCUCAUAUUAUAUGGGGUACCUCUAUUUGUGUGGGAUACCCCUAAUUGUGCAGGGUACCUCUAUUUACACGGUGUUCCUCAAGUCAUGCCGGGCACCUCGGAUUGUGCAGGGUACCCUCCGAUUGUGCUGAAAUCAUUCCAGUAAUAGUUUUGAGAUAAUGAAACAAUUUUUUUCCAUUUUUUUUUUAUCUCUAUCCGACUUAAGGGGUAUUAUCAUGUAUAUAAAUUGAAUCCGACAUGUUAAAUUUUUCUGUCAAUCAACGAAGUCAUUGCAUAGAUAAUUCCCCAGAUUUUCAAUGCAAAGAAAGCCUUGCUCAUGUUUGAAGAGGUUAAUGAGCAUAAUAUGAGGGACAAAAUUGAAAUCUAUGAAGAAUUACAGAACUAUAGAGUAAAACUAAACAAGAAUUAUUAUUGUAUUGCUGGAAAUGAGAAUGAACGUGUAAUAAAGAAGCAAGUAAUGCAAAUAUGACGAAAGUAAAACUGCCUGAUUAGUAAACACCAAACAUUUAGCCAAUGACGAAUAAGUUUUGGUACACAAGUCAAUUCGAAAAAGAUUACAGUGUAUUCAGUUGUUAGUAAUAGAAUUUUCAUUUUUCCUCAAUCUUCUCCAUGCAAUCUAUACACAGGUAACUUCAGUGUAAUUAGAAGAUCGAAAUGAACUAGUAGAAUAUUUAAGAAACAAAAUUCUUAAACAAGUCCUACUGGGUUCGGUUAGAAUGAACUAUAACUAUGGUUCUAGAUAAAUAUCAGAGGUUUAUAAGAUAAAAUAGUAUGCAAGUCACUGUAGAGUAUCUUGAGAGAAAGUUUUAACCAUGCUUGUAGGCAUCGAAUAAUAAUGGUAGAAAACAUUUUAAGGCCCAAUGAACAUGCAUAAAAAAUGGUAAUAAAUGCAUGGUAGGCUUACGGACAUGUCUAGAAUCAUCCGGUGCAAUGCUUUCAACCAACUUUGGCCCGGAUGAAAGAAACCCACGUCCUAGAGGACUGUAAGCAACAAUUCCAAUGCCAAGUUCCCUGAGCAGAGCAACCACCAAAAUUGCGUUAGCAUGCAAAUGUUAAAUCAUCUACUCAUAAUUUUUUUUCCUUUCAACUAGGUCAAAACAAUUCAUUUGGCCCAAAUAAUGUCUUACCUGCAAGUAGGAACAAUCUCUUCCUCCACAUCUCGUGACCACAAGGACCAUUCCAACUGCACAGCUGUUAUUGGAUGGACGGCGUGAGCUCGUCUAAUUGUUGAAGCAGAAGCCUCCGAUAGACCUAUAUACUUUAUUUUACCCUCUUCAACUAGUUUCUUGAGUUCCCCAAUCUUACAAAACAACACAAGUAAAAGAAUUAGUACAUGAUAACAGAAACCUCACCCACCGAAGUGACCCAUGUCUGUAUUUUUAAAUAUUCUGUGUUUCAUAUUCAUUGGCAGCCGAGCUACCCAGAGGCUAACAGACUAAUAUAGUUUAACAUGCAUGAUUGAGACAAAUAUAUAAAUUAAAAACGACAAACCGUGACUUCAAUGGGAACUUUAGUGUCAAUGCGAUGUUGGUAAUAAAGAUCAAUACAGUCAACAUCCAGACGCUUCAAGCUGGCCUCACAUGCAGCUCUUACAUAAGCAGGAUCCCCACAGUAUGAGUACUGGCCAUCCUCAUAUCUGAUACCAAAUUUAGUAGCCAAUUCAACUCUUCCUCUGUACCCUCCUUUCAGAGCCUAAUCCCAAAACCAAAUUAAUCAAAGCCAAUAUAUUAUUAUUUGCCAAUUCCAAAUAUACCCUUUUGAAAUUAAAGGAAGGAAAUAGAAGAUAAAUUAUAUUACCUUGCCCAGAAGGAUUUCAUUUGUGUGAGGUCCGUAAGAAUCGGAAGUGUCAAGUAAAGUGAUGCCACUGUCAAUGGCAUGGUGGAUCAAGGCUAUCAUAUCGGAUUCGGGCUUCGGGGGCCCGUAGAAGGCGGACAUGCCCACGCAUCCUAAGCCUUGCGCUGAAACCUCUAGACCUUGUGAACCCAGCUUGAUUCUCUUCACUGCCCCCGCCAUUUCUCUUCUAUUAGCCUCUCAACUUUCUGUUGAGUGAGGUUGCUGUUUCUAAGCGAACAAUCUAUAUAUGUAGAUAUAUUGCUCUGCGGGCCUCUCAAAACUCGUAAUGCUAACGUAAUGGAAUAUGUUAGCAUUUACCUCAUUAACUUUACAAAUCACACAAGAGAGUAGUUAGAUCAAUAAUCGAUACGUCAUAAUGUUAUUUAUUAAUUAUAGGAAAAAUGAUAAACACAACUCCAACAUUUAGAUAAAGGGACAAAAAAAAGUAAUUUUUUUUUUUUUUUUUGUGAAGCUUAAGGCCCUAUUUGGUAUUGUUUUCCAAAUGUUGUUUUCUUGAAAUAAAAAUAACAAUGAAAAUGUUAUUUUUAAAUUUUAAAAUAUAUUCAGUAUCAUUUUUGAAUACUUAUCUAGUAUUUUCUGAAUUUAGAAAAUAAAAAAUUAGAUUUGAAAACAAUAUUGUACGCACCCUAAUAUUUUAAUUAUCUCUUUUGAACUAUCUGGCUCUAUAGCAAUUUGUAAGGGAAAUAUUGUCUUUUGAUCAGUCUAUUAUCUUAGAACUAGGGUCUAAGGUCAUAUUUGGUAUUGAAGUAUGUACCUUUUGAGUUACAAUUGUUAUGAAAAAAAUACUGUAACUAUAAAGUAAAAGUUAAUAGUAUGUAAUAAAUAUAAUUUUUAAAUAAUAAUUUUUUAAAAAUGAGUAAAGAUAUAAUAAAUUUUUCAUCAUACAAGUAGAAAAUCAAAUCAAUUUAGUUUUCAAGCUAUACCAACUAGUGUUUAUCAAAUACUUUAAUGCUAUUUUUUUUAUCAAAUACUUUAGUGCUAUUCUUUUUACACUACAACCGUUCAACCUCAAUCCUAAAUAGGACAUAAGUAUGGAAAUUACUCGAUGAAUCAUCUUUUAAGUAUUUGAGUGAGAUAUUGUAGUGAUUUUUUUUUCUAAAUACUUGAAAAUUAAUCUAAUCUGCAAUGAGAUUCUUGCAGACUUCUUGUCGUAACUAUAUUGUCAAUAAUGAUAGUCACAUGCUUACAAUUUUUUUUAUGUGUUUUUUAAAGAAUGGGUAAAAUCCAAAUCAAUUUUUUUCUUAUAAUCUUUGUAAGAUUGGAACUCCAAUAGUCAAUCAAAUGAAACUAAUUAAAAAUUGGUUAAAUCCUUAGGUGGUCAAUCAAGUGCUUACAUGUAAUAACUAAAAUUAUAGAGAACUUAUAAUUACUUUUGUAAGCAACCCAAAGUAUAUUAAGACUAACUUGAAAUUCUAUCACGUCUUAGUAAAUACUCAAAAAAUUUACUUCAUACUGUUGAGAAAAUGAGUAAAAAAAAGCCAUGGAAUUCAAAUAGUGUCCUCAAUAUUAUUGUGAAUACCUGUCAGCAUUGAUUAAUUAGUCCAAUGGCUAUUUUUUUUUUUAGAAGAUAAGCAUGUAUUUGAUAUUAUUUAUGUUUUGCUAUUUUUCAUUUUCCAAGAAAAAAAAAAGUGUAAAAUUUGUUUGGUACACUUAUUUUAUGGUAUUUAAUUUCAAGUAAGAAUGUUUAAUCUCAUUCUCUAACUUUAGAGAAGAAAAUUGGACAACAAGGCAUUCAUGAUUUUCAAUUUUCAUUUUUUAAAUGGGUACUACAAGUACCACUUGAACAACAACAAAAUAAAAAUCAUGUCUGUCAUUAUGUGGGCCCAUUACCAAUAUUUAUUUUAUAAUCCAAUUCUAAUUAUCUUUAAUACUUUUUAAUUAUUUUUUAUUCAACAAUACUAAUUGUAUUAUUUGGUAAUUUUUAAAAGGUUCUCUAUUAGUAAAAUUUAUUUAUUAUUUAUUAUUUAUUCUAAUAUUAAUGAUACUCCCUAAAAAAUCAUUUUAUCUAAUUUUUUAUAAUUAAAAAUUUUAAAUAAUAAAAAGUAAUUGAAAUUUCAAAUAAUAAAAAAUUAAUUGAAAUAUAUUAUGAUUAAAAAUAAUUUUAGUUCAUCUAAAUAUUAUAUCAUAGUAUGUAUUUUUUUCUCACUCUCUUUUACCGUCUUCACUUUUUAAACAACUCAAACAUUUUGAAAUUUUCAUUUUAUAAGUAUAUUUUAGAAAGAAGGCUCAUUCUAUUAUGCCUUGAUUAACGUAACGGUAUCAAUACUGUAAUUAAACAUAAUUUAUGUAAAUAAAAUAUAAAACUUGUAAAUCAAUAUUAAUUGUAAAAUACAUAAAUUUUAGAAAUUAAACAUAAAACUUGUAAAUUGAAGGUAAAAUGAGUAAAUUAAUAUAAAACUCGUAAAUUGAUAUAUUAUUAGUAAAUAAAACAAAAACUUGUAAUAUAACAUAAAACUUGUAAAUUAACAUUAAGUGCAAAAUAAAGCACAAAUGUAAAUGGAGGAUAAAACAAGUAAAUUAAUAUAAAACUAGUAAAUUAAUGUAUUACUAGUAAACAAAACAAAAACUUGUAAAUAUAACUUAAAGCUAGUAAAUCAACAUUAACAAUAAAAUAAAGGGUCACCCUAUGUUAUGUUGAGUGUAACAUACACACACUCACAGCAACAGUAACAAGUCUCAUCAUUAACAUUGUUGCUGUGAGUGUGUGUAUGUUACACUCAACAUAACAUAGCAGUGGCCUAAAAUAAAACAAAAAUUUUAGAAAUGAAGUAUAAGACUUGUAAAAGGAAAGUAAAAACAAGUAAAUUACUAUAAAAUUAGUAAAUUUAUGUAUCAUUAGUAAGUAAAACGAAAACAUACAAAUAUAAUAUAAACCAAGUAAAUCAAUAUUAAGUGCAAAAUAAAACAUAAAAUUUGUAAACCAUGCUCAAAACUUAUGAAUAAAAGGUAAAAUAAGUAAAUUAAUCUAAGAGUUACUAACAAAAAAGCUCUUAUAAACUAAAAACUCAUUAUAAUAUUUAUUACCUUAUAUAUUUAAUGAUUUUUUUAAAUUAAAUUGCAUAAUGCUAGUUUUGCAUUUAUGUAGUACAUGUGAUGUUUUAUUAAGGAUGAAAUUUAUUCGCAGAAUUGGAUUUUGAAAAAAAAAACUAUUUUAAUAUCUUUCAUAGUUGUUGUAACAUGAGGUUAUUUUGCAUCCUUCUACACUUCUGCAACAACAACCCUAAAUGGUCUCUUAAGUACAAGUAAAAAGUUUGAAACUACAUGAAGCAUACAUAGAACUCAAAAUUAGAUAUAAUUUUAUUGAUAUAUCAUAUAUGUGUCUAGUAAUAUGAGAAUAAUUAUUUAUUUAUUUAUUCAUUUGCUUGAUCCACGUCUAGAUAAAUAAUUGCACUUAAUUAACUUGUGUAAUAAACAGAUAUCAUUAUAGAAAAUGGGAAAAAUUAUACAAAUGUCAUUAAAUAAAUAUAGAAUUUAUGGUUAAACCAAUUCAAUAAAAUAUAUUUCACUUUUUUUGUACAAUUUUUGUUUAAUUAAUGAGUAAUUUUUUCUUUAUAUUUUUGUAAAUGAAUACAAUAUUUUUCACUAAAAUUGUGCAGAAGCAAUGUUAAUUUUUUAAAUAAUUAAUAAUCUUGUAUGAAGUUACUUGUUUUACUUUAUAUUUACUAAUUUUAUAUGAAACUAGUAAAUAUAAAGUAAAGCAAGGAAAUUCAUACAAGAUUAUUAAUUAUUUAAAAAAUUAUAAAAACAUUAUUUGAAUGGCAAUACCAAUUGCACCCUAGUCCGUACAAUUUUACGUCAUUCAAUGUUGAUAACGUGGCUGGCACAAAGGCCAAAUCAAAGGCUGAGCGGGCAUCACAUGGGCCUUUGCCUGGAUCCUAACCUUCGCAAGCAAAGGCCCACGAUUCUAUCACCCAUUAAUCCUUCUAGAGAAUCUGCUAUAGAUGUAAAUGGACCCUCACUAUCUUUUUCACUGUUUUGAUUUUUCAAAAUUCCUUUUUUUUUAUUAAGUUUAAUGCAUUUUAUUAUCUCCCUGAAACUAUUUGGCUAUGGUAAUUGGCAAGGGGAAAAUUAUCUUUUAAACAUUCUAUUACCUUAAGACUACGGUCAAGUAUUGGAAACAUGGUGAAUCAUUUUUUAGGGAUUUCAGUCAACUUAUAAACAUUAUAGAGAUUGAUUUUUUUUUGCGAAAUAUGCGAAAAUAAAUGCAGCGCUACGAGGUUCUUGUAAACUAUUAAAUUCAAAUCAAUAAAAGUAGCAAUAAUAGCGUAAGUCCAGAAUCUAUCAUAUAUCAAUACCACUCUCAUACAGUUGUUGUUAAAUCAGGCCUAAAAAAUAUUUUUUUUUCUUUAAUUUAAUAAAAUUAUCAAAAGUCAGAUUUUUUUUUCUUGAUUACAUAAAAAUGCAUAAAAGUAGAGAAACACCUUAAAUUUCCUACUGAAGAUUUGAAGACAACUACUUUAAUUUUUUCCACUACCAUUAUUGGGAUCUGUAGGAUAUGGUUGUAGUUUUCUCGUCUAUCAUCAAUAGUCUCCCUCGCACAUGAGGGCAUAUAGAGAACUAUAAUUCCCAUUUCCUCUUCUUUAUAUAGGCACUUAUUAAAGUCAAGAUAUAACUAGAAACUAAGCUAACAAAGGGUAUCCAUGAACUUCCUAAAUCCAACUUCAUAGUUAAGUCUCAGUCAUAUUAUGACUCCCUAAAACAACUAAGUUAACCUUAAGCUAUUCUACUAAAAGUCUGAUGUCGCACUCUAAUGAACCAUGUAACAAAUAAAAGCCUAAUUAAUUAAGACUUCUUUUAAUUAAUAUUAGACAUGAUUUUAAACCAAUAAUUACCACUUAAUUGACUCUUUAUUUGAUCAUCUUAAUUAAAUCCAGCCCAUGAUAAAUUUUCUUUCUUUGUAAUUACAUAUAUAUCCCUUAGUCACAAUUUAUUCUAACUAUCACUGUUAAUAUAUUUGUAAAUAGAUUACAAAUAAAUGUGAUUAAUUAAUAAAUAAAUUAUUGAAUAAAUUAUAACCACAGAUUUAAAUGAUCAAUAUAGGGAUGGCAAAAUGCAAGCUUAGACUAGGCUUUUUCAAGCCCGUUAGAGGGAAAGUAUAAGGGCUAAGCUUGGGCCGGGGUUGGGUUGGGUUGGGUUGGGUUGGGCUUUCACUUAUUUUUUUCAUUUUUUAAAAAAAUUGUUAAAAACUUGAAAUGAAUUAAUAGUCAAUGAGUUGUUAUAAUCGGCAACGAAAUAAAGAAAAUGAAUGUUUCAAAAUAAAAUAAUAAAUAAAGAAAACACAACAAAAAAAAGUGUAGAGAUUUAAAUUUUUUAAUACUAGAUUUUUUAAUUCAAGUAUCUUCUUAAUUAAUUAACAUUUAAAAGAGAGUUUAUUAUUAUAAUUUUAGAUUUUUUGAUUCAUUAUUGAUAUAUAAAUUAGGGACUUAAGCUUUCUUUCUUUUUUCCAUUAUUUCAUAAAAGUUUAAUUUAUUAUUCAAAUUUCUAAUUUAUUUUUUGAAAAAAAAAUAGAGGGCGUGUGCCUAGAUUUUUUUUUACUUAAGCCCUUAUCCAGACCGUUCAUAUGGAGGCAUGAGCCAAAUCUCAUAGCAAUGGGCCGGGCUCAUCCCUAUGAUCAAAUACUACAAAUAGCUUAGGUAAGCAUCAUUUGUAUAGAUUCCAUCUUGUAAGUAUAUAUAUUUCUAUAAUCCAUGAAAUUAUAUCUCCAAAUUAUUAACGUUUUGACCGUUUAUACAAAUCUUACUUUGUGACGACUCAAAAGACAUAAUACCUGAAUGUGCGCUAGACUCCUUUACCCUUUAUUAGCGUUAUAUUACCCACUCAGAAUUAAGAUCGAUCAAGCUUAUUAAAGCUUGUAUAGAUUAUGAUUAGCAACAUAUGUUAGAUUAGAUCAUAAUUCAUUACAAUCUUGUUCAUUACAUAUAUAUCUCAUAUACAUACUAAUUUUUCUACUUGAAGUCUCUACUUCAGUAAUUAAGAUAAAGUUACUUAACAAUAAAAAUACAAAAUAUACAGCCUUAUAAAAAUAAAAUGACAUUUCAUUAAUGGAUGUGAAUAAUCUUUUAUUUUUAAAGAAUUUGUGAUUUUUAUCUUCUAUCUUGACAUCAUAUGUCCAAUAUAUAAAUCAAAUACUUUAUAAAUAAGGGCUAAUAAUGUAUGCUCAAAUAAAUAAUAAAUAAAUAAAUUUUAAUAAAUUCAGAAAUUUUUAUUUUAUUGCAUGCUGUAAGAGUACAAAAUAAUAAUGUACAAAAUAAUAAUAAGUGUACUAGUAAUUAUAUUGUCAAUAAUGAUACUCAAAUACUUAUAACUUUUUUUUUGUGUUUUUUUAAAAGUAAAGGGUGGUAAUACCAAAUCAGUUUUUUCGCAUCUAACCUUUGAGGAUUCGAACUCUAAUUACCAAACAAAUAAAACUACAUGGAAAUCAGCUAAGCCUAGGGCGGCCAAUCAAAUGCUUACAUGUACUAAGCAAAACAAAAGAGAACUUAUAAUUACUUUUGUAAACAACAAAAAGUAUAUUGAGACUGUUUAAAAAUCUAUUACGCCCUAGUAAAUACUCUAGAGUCUACUCCAUAUUAUUGAGGAAAAUGAUUGAAAAGAAAAAAAAUGGAAUUCAAAUUAUUAUCCUCGGUAUUAUUGAGAACAACUGUUACCAUUGAUCUACCAGCCCAAUAGCUAUUAUUAUUAGUUUUAUAUUAUAAUUCUCUACUGAAAAAUACAAUAUUAUCUCAUUUAGUGUUGAUGUAUGUGGCACAAAAACCAAAUCAAAGGCUACGCCACCUUCACCGGGGCCCUUGCCCAGGUCCCACCCACCACAACAAAAGGCCCGCAAAAAAUUGUUUAUAUUAUAUAUUUAUUGGGUAGUGAAUGGUGAUAUUUUUUAUUUCUUAAAAUACUAAUUAGAGACCAGGUUUGCCCAUACUCGCAUGUGUAAGAGAGAAUCCAUUAUUGAGAAGAAAUUAUCAGUUGGAUUUAGGAGGAGUUAUUUAUGAACAAUAAACUUUUGGCCAAAUAAUCCAAAUAUCAAACAAAUUUGAGGGAAUGCAAAGUGUAGACGAGUAAAAAUUCAAUAAAUGACUAAAGAUUCAAGAAAACAUGAGUAUUAUAAAACUGAUUAAAUUCAUAUUGAGUUUGAAGAUGGAAUAAAACACCAGUAUAAUUGUUUUCAAAUAAUCAUAUGUCUAUAAUUGUAAUUUAUGUUAUUGAUAUUUUAGUAACAAUUAAGUUUAUUAAAAUGUGAGUUUAAUGAGUAACCUAGAGGGUUAAUUAGCCUCAACCUUUAAAAGGUGUCAAAAGGCUACUCUUUGUAUAAUAUAAUAUACUCCACUUAAACUAACCCACUUAAUACUAAAAAUUAACCUUGUAAUGUUUUCUGAAUUAUUUUAGUGUUCAAUAUCAACAAUCAUGAUGUUUUUGAAUGAAACAUACAAAAUGUUUAUAAUGUAAAAAAGAAAUUAGGGUUAUAUGAUGUAAGAAAUUGUUGAACUAAUACAUGUAUAGAUGUAAAUAGGGUAGCAAAAUGAAUUCAUGAAUUAGGUUAAAAGUCGGUAAAUUCAAUAUAAUGAAUUGGGUUAGAAGUUUGAAACUCCAAAGUUUCUAACUUCGAUGUUUAAAUUACAAAUUCAUUAACAAUAGAAUAAACUAACCAUCCUAACUCUAAAAUUUCAACCGAACCAGUGAGCUUAAAUCCACAUUCAUAUUUUGAAUUAGGGUCCAGCUACAAUAAAAAUAUUGUUUCAUACACUAUUUUUUGUCUUUUUGUGAUCCAACCAUUGGAUUCAACUCAAGAGUUGCAAAAGCUAUUCCAACGGCAUGGAUGGACUUGCUUGGUUAUUAACGAUGCAGUCCCUUCUGUUUACUAAAAAAAAUAAGGAAAGAUUAAAUUUCAAAAUUUGACACAUUAGUCCAGUAAAAUAUUUUAUUGUAAAUGAACACAUUUAUAUAUUAAAAAUAUGGAUGGAUUAUUUUAAUUUGCUAAAACACUCUCCACUUCCAUUUACUUAAAAUACCAAUUGGAUUAUAAUAAUAUUAUCUUGUUUUUUGUGUAAUACAAUAUUGGAUAAGGUUUUAUAAAAUUUUUGACAAUAUCAAAAUGAAAAAUAAAUAAAUAUUAAAUAAAUACUUGGAUAGUCAUUUAAAUUUCAUUAUGGAGUUUAUAAAUAAUAUUUUCAAAAUAAUAAAUUUCUAUAUGUAAAUUUGAAAUUAUGUAAAAUUAUUUAUUCCUUAUUACACGUAUGAAGCUGAUUAAUUAUUUAUUUAAUGUGAAAACAAAUGCAUUGUAUAAUAUUUAUUCUAUUACUUAAAUUUAAAAUUAUAAAGAAUGAAACUUAAAUUUAAAAUUGUAAAGAAUGAAUAAUAACUUAAAUUAAUAGAUUAUGGGAGGAUACCUUUCAAAAAAAUUAAAAUUAACAAACUUUUUAGGCUUCUAACGUAACAUUUUUAAUUUUUGUUGUUAACAUAAGACAAAAAUUAAGUCUAAAAACCUCAUUCUAGGGUCUCCUUAGGGUAAAAAAAAAAAUCAUUAUCACAUGAUAAUUUGGUAGCCUAAGUUGUAUUAUUUUUAGUUUACUUAUUCAUGCCAAACACCUUAUUGAGAUUAAAUUUUAGUAAAGUAAACCCAUCCCACCAUCUUUAAUCACAUUCAAUAGGCCCUAAUUGAUUAGAUCUUGUUAUAUAAAGUAAUAUAUAACUCUUUCUUUAUUACAAUGGUAAAGAAAAAAAAACAUAAACACAAUAUAUUUCUUUUGAGAAAAUGCAAGUAUUAUGUUUUUUAGGUUUUGUGUUUAAGAAAUUAAUCUAAUUUAUGUAGUUAGAAGACUCUUAUUUUUUAUGUUUUAGAAGAAUUAUAUGUUUGAUAAUGAAUAAAUUAAGAUUUAAAGUAGGAAAACUAAUUUGAGAAGGAGAUAGAGAGAAUAAAUUUUUUAGAAUUUGAAAAUUAUUAUAUUUUAAUUGGGGCUUAUUACAUAAAAUUAUUAAAACAUAUGGUUUUUAUUAUUUAUAGAAAACAAUAGGGAUUGCUAAAGAAAACACUAAAUAAUUAUUUUAAUUUGAAAUUAUUAUAUUUUAAUUGGGGCUUAUUGCAUAAAAUUUUUAAAAUUUAUAGUUUUUAUUAUUUACAGAAAACUAUAGGGACUGUUAAAGAAAAUACCAAAUUUGAGGGUUUGGUACAACGGUUGCAAAGUAGUUUUGUCCUGAACUAGUGAGACUUUUUUUUUGGCAUAAUUAUAUUUAUUGUAUCAUUCAAUAAAUGGAUCUUAAAAAAAUAAACAAAUCAGUGGGACAUUCAAUUUGUUCACUUAACAAAUUCAAUCAAAAUUGUCCAUUUAUUAGACGAAUUAAUUUUUCAAACCUAAAUGCUUUUAAUUCAAAUAGAAUCAAUAAAUCCUUAUCUAUAUUAUUACCCCUAGAUGUAAACCCUUUUUAUGAGAAAAAAAAGGGUGUUUAUAUGAUAGAAGAAACUAUUGAAUUGUAUUUUUAAAUAUGUUAUAUAUUAUUGAUUUAUCUGUCAUUUUACUCUAGAGUGAAAUUGUAGCAAUAAAAAAUUGAGUAAAAUCUUUAAAUUUAUAUUUUUCAUGACUCACCGUAGAUUCUGGUAUUUCAUAGAUUAAUUCUUUAUUGGCUUAAAAAAAAUCCUACCCAAACUUAAAAAAUUAAGCUAAUAUAGACAUAACAUAAAAAUAAAUAAAUAUGAUAUAUAAUACAGAAUUUUGUAAAUUAUUUUUAAUGUUAAAUACAAGUAUUUUAAUAUUAUUGAUCUGCAAAAUAGAUUUUAUUAAAUUAAAACAUAUAUGAUAGAUUAAUAAUAUUAAAUUAAUUUUUUUAUUCAAAAUAAUUUAUAAAAUAUAUAACAAUUAUAUAUUAUAUUAUUUUAAUAUUAUAUUUUGUAUCUAUCUAUCAUAGAAGUUUAUUUAAAAUCAAUUUUUGGAUUGUUAAAAUCGAUGUGUAUAAUCAUCAAAAAACAUUUGUGUGAUUAUUUAUUAAACCAAGGAGGUCUAUAGCAACAUUUAUGUUCCCAAGGGGGUAUAUAUGCUUUUUUUCCCUGAUUUUUAGAUGAAUUAAUUCUUAAAUGUAUCUAUUUAUCAUUUACUGCAAAGAAGGUGAUCAAAUUAACCAUAAAAAAUACGCAAUGAAAUGUGUGAAAUGCCUGAAAGGCAAUAGGAACUGUGAAAAAUAUUUUUACGGAUUGGACUAGGCAAUGCGGGCCAAUAAUAUCUAGUCCAAAGAUGAGGCUGGGCCAAGUUUAAGUUUCACUUGAUAAAUUUAGAUUCGUCCAAAAACCUGAAUUUUAUGAAAAAAUAUUAUAAAAUACAUUAUUUUAAAUAACUAUAUUUAUUUGACCCAUAGAUUAUACAUAUUUAAAAUUUUAAAUAUUUAAAGUUCAUAUUUGAAAACCCAAAUUCAUUAAAUAAAAUUUAAAAAUCAUAAAACUAAAAUAGGUCCCUACAGCGCAACCCGCUUAGGUCGAAAGCCAUCCCAGCCUGGGCCAUUUGGGUCUUUGCAUUAACCUCAAAAGGAUAAAAAGUGCAUGAGGUAUAGGUGGGGGUGUUCGCGGAUCGGAUUUUACGAAUUGGACAUCAAUCCAUAUCCGAUCCAUGAUUUUGCGGAUUAUAAUUUUUUAAUCCAAUCCAAUCCAUAAAUUGAUAAAAUUCAAUCAAAAUCCAAUCCAUACAUCUGCGGAUCGGAUGCGGAUUUGACUCAAUCCAUAUCCAAUCCAUACGUCUGCGGAUCGGAUGCGGAUUUGACUCAAUCCAUAUCCAAUCCAUUUUGCGCAUUAGUUUUCGAAUUAAAAUUUUUUAGUUCUCUCCAACUAAUGAAAUAAAAAAAAAUCUAAUAUAAAAAUAAUUUUGCUACCAAUUAAAUUUAAAAUUGAAUAAAAUUUAAAUAAAUUAAUUAUUUAAAUAGAGUUAAAAUAAUACAUUUAAAGUUUCAAAAUAUAACAAUCGAGACUAAUUAUUUAAAUAAAGCUACAAUAAUACGUUCAAAGUUUCAAAAUAUAACACACCAAGCUUAAUUGUUCAAAUAAAGUUACAAUAAUACGUUAAUAUAACACCGAAAUUAAUUGUUCAAAUAAAGCCACAAUUAAUUGAAAUGGCGAAGUUUUGGAAACCAAACACGGUCUGAUCCUUCACUAGGGUUGUUGCGCCUGUUGAAAAGUGGUGAUUACUGAGCCGUCCACGAUGGGAACCAGGAGAAGCCGUACGGGUGGCGAUCUUGAAGGUUGUGAUAGUGAAAUUGUUCAGCUGGAACCAGUGAAUGUGAAGUGGCUCGAUGGACUUGGGAAAGAAGAUGGCUUGCUCUCACUGGGAUCGCACGGCCGAUGUCCUUCAAAUCCGUGUCGAGAGUGUAUCCAACCAGUAUUGAGUGUUGUUAGUGUGCGUGACGACGGAGAAGCUUAGGGUUUUUUGUUUGCAAAUUGUUGGUGACUUGACAACAUGUUAUUUUACUUUUGGGUGACUUUGCAAAUUGUUGGUGACUUGACGUUAUGUUACUUUACUUUUGUUAGUGCGUGUGACUUUGCUUUUAUUUUGUUUUACAAUUUUUACACGUUAUAUUUGUAUAUUUGAUUAUUUAAUUAUUUUUUAUUUUUUAUUAUUAUUGGGUAAUGGCUAAGAUAUGUUAUAGUGCUUAUGUAACUAUGUAAUGUCACAUUUAUAAUUUUUUUAAUUAAAUUUAUAAUAAUUUUUUAAUUAUCUAUAUAUAUAUAUAUAUAUAUAUAUUAUUUUAUUUUUUUUGUGCGGAUUCACGGAUUUUUACAGAUUUACAGAAGUAAAUUCAUAUCCAAUCCAUCAAUCCACGGAUCGGAUUUAUACGAAUCGGAUUGAGUGGAUCAGACGGAUUGAGUGGAUCGGAUUGGAUUCUGAACACCUCCAGGUAUAGGUUUUAACCGAAAGAACUUCUUGCGCAAUUCAUGCGUUUCUGCUUUUAUGACCAGAAAUUGUUUCUUGAUUUGAUUUCCAUUUCAAAUUGUUCUCUGGACUUUUUAUCAAUAUGAGGUGAUUGCAAAUAAACAUAUAUAAUAUUAUAAAAUAUAAAUCUGGAUUUUUUAAGCCCAUAAAAGAAAGUCCAUUUGGGGCCGAGAUUUUAGGCUCAACCUCAGUGUUCAAAAAAACAUGCUUGGGCCAAAUUUGAGUAUUGCCAUAUCCGGGACCGACUUGAGUUUUUACCAUGACUAAGCAUAAUCAAUUGGUUCAAAUAAUUUAAUUUCCGGUAAAAUGAUGUGAAAAAUUGUGAAUCAAUUUGGUAAUCUCGUAGAGGCCACUUUGUAACACAGUAAAAGUAUUCAAUUGAUCUGAAAUCAUUGAAUAAUUUUUUGUUGAGGAAGGAUGUCACGUACAACAACAAGAAACAUAUAAUGCUACAAUAAAUUUAGAUCAGCAAUAAUGUUUAGGAUCCUAACAUUUGAGUCUCAACUUGACUCUCAAUGAUAUGUGUCACUCAUCAAUUGAAUAAUGGAUAUAAUAUCUAGUAAAAUUAUUUAACCACCAUUCAAUAGAUGAAUUCCACGUCAGUAGGAACUCAAAUUAAGACUUAUGUUGGGACAUCUAGCAUUGCUCUUCACAUCAGUGGUGAGGCUCCAAGUGGGUUGGGAAAUUUUUAGAAAAUUUACAAAAAUAUCAUAAUGCAAAGUUUAUAAAAUUGCCACUAUUUUAUUUACAGUAGUACCACUCUAUUAAUUUACAAUUUUGUCAUUCAAAUAAAUAUACAGAAAAAAGGGAGCAUUUACUUCAUUCAAGAUUCCAGAACGUGCUUUCUUUCUUGGCUUCUUCAGUUCUUCGUCUUCUUCUUGACAAGAAUAGAUAAUACAUUUAUUGUUUAUUCAAUCAUUUACAGUACACUUAUUAAUUGUUAGGUAGUAAAGACUAAAGAUUAUAUUAUUUAAUUCUUGUUCCAAUUUCAUUGUGUAAAAUUAAAUUAUUGUUGGGUCAAAUGAAGAUAAUUUAGCCAUUAAAUUCUAGCAUUCAAAAAUUUAAAUUAAUUAUUGAUAGAGAUGGAUCAUAGAUUCAAUUCAGUACAUUAUACAUAAAGUUAAUUUGUUAAUUGAAUUUAUUGUUUGGCUUCUGGAUAGUGUUAAUGUGUCGUAGUGACAGAUUGACGGUUCUAUGACUUUUAUUAGUAAAUUUGUGAUUAUUUCUUCUAACUUCUUUUAUAUUUAUACCAUGUUUUGACUGAAACACCCAAACGAGCAUAGACACGACUUCAAAAUAAGGAAGAGAAUGAAUUUUUAUCAAAUUGUAUAGUUAUCUACGUUAAAAGAGAAUUUGUAAACACCGUUAAUUUAAAUUCGAUAAUAGAUGGAUUUAAUUCUCGAAAGUAUGGUAAAUUACUUCUUAGACAUGAUAUAUUUUCUUAUGUAUAACAAAAUUUUCUUUCAAAUUUAUAUUUUUAACCAAGAUAAUAUUUGGAUUUGGAAAAAAUUUAGCCUACCCAAGAUAUUUUUUCUGGCUUCGCCCCUGAUUCAGAUCAUCUAAACUUCCAGAAAUUUCAGAUAAAUAUUACUCCAUUUUGAUUUGUUAUUGUUUCUCAUAUAUUUGCAUAAACACAUUACAUUGUUUUUGCGCUCACUGCAGAAGAUACAAUGAUUUAGUUUUACUUACAACACUGCAUAGGAACUCAAUACAAUAUUCACUAAAUGCUUGUGGAAAGUGCAGAAAGGUACUGAUAGGGUCUCGUAUGAGAACACAAUGAUUUUACCCACAACAGAACCUAGGAACUACAUGCAAUUGCAAAAUCGGUACUAAGAAGCAGAAUACCAAUGCCCUUUAUGAAGGUUUCCACGAAGACAGAGGUGGAGUUUCAGAGUCUUCGUAGGUAGGAGUGACACCCCCAUACCGAUGACCCCUUACAGCAUCUGCUGAAGCAAUAGAUUCAAGCUCAGCCAUUUCUUCUGGAGAAAGUUUCACUGACAGAGCUUUAAUAUUUUGAUUGAGGUUUUCAAUCUUGGUGGUUCCAGGAAUCGGACACACGUCAUUUCCUUGGUGAUGAACCCAUGCUAAUGCAAGCUGAGAUGGGGUGCAUCCUUUCUUUACUGCUAUUUCAUUAACACGUUCAAAUAGCUUUUUGUUAUGCUCUAAAUUUUCAGGUUGGAACCUCGGUAGAUGCUGCAAGAUUUAGAAAACAGCUCAGUACCAAAACUGAACUGCAAUUGAAUCAUUAAAAAAAAGAACAUCAUUUUGGAUAAGAGUAAUGAUACAGCCACAAACUCUUGUACAAACUUAUUUUGUACAAACUGAUGUGGCAUGAUAAGAUUGGUUGAAUUAAAUAUCACUUGGCCCACAUGAUUUAUUUUUAUUAAUUUAUAUUUUCAUUCAACCAAUCUUAUCAUGCCACGUCAGUUUGUACAAAAUAAAUUUGUACAAGAGUUUGUGGCUGUAUCAUUACUCUUUGGAUAAAGCAUGAUUUUAGAGGAGGUUUAUGUAAAAUUCAAUAGACCAGAAAACAAAGAAAAAGGACUAGUCGGGGACUUCUCCUAGGUGGAGGAUGUUUAUAGUAAAACAUUUUGGCAUGUUAGACAAAGGUCUCACAAGAAAUAAACUCUCCUUGGACUUGUCAAUUGAUUUCACAUUGACGUGCAUAGGCAAAGCAAUAUAACAAAAAUGGAAACUGCCACAAGGAUGUAGAAGUUUGGAAGAGUCAUUACAGCUAAACUUCUUGAGCAUCCAGUAAUAGUUUUGAGGUAAUGGAACAAUUUUUUUCCCUCAUUUUUUUUUUCACCUCUAUACAACUUAAGGGGUAUUAUCAUGUAUAUAAAUUGAAUCAGUCAUGUUAAAAUUUUCUGUCCAUCAAUGAAGUAAUUGCAUAGAUAAUUCCUCAUAUUUUCAAUGCAAAGAAAGCUUUUGCUCAUAUUUGAGGAGGUUAAUGAACAUAAUCUGAGGGAAACAAUUGAAAUCUAUGAAGAAUUUCAGAGCUAUAGAGUAAAACUAAACAAGAAUUAUUAUUGUAUUGCUAAAUGAGAAUGAAUGUGUAAUAAAGAAGACAAGUAAUGUAAAUAUGAUGAAAGUAAAAAUACACGAUUAGUAAACACCAAACAUUUAGCUAAUGAUGAAUAAGUUUUGGUAGACAAGUCACUUCAAAAAGGAUUACAGUGUAUUCAGUCCUUAGUAAUUGAAUUUUCAUUUUUCCUCAAUCCUCUCGAUGCAAUCCAUACACAGGCAACUUCAGUGUAAUUAGACGAUCGAAAUGAACUAGUAGAAUAUCUAAGAAAGAGAAUUCUUAAACAAGUCCUACUGGGUUAGGUUAGAAUAACUAUAACUAUGGCUCUAGAUAAAUAUCAGAGGUUUAUAAGAUAAAAUAGUAUGCAAGUCACUGUAGAGUAUCUUGAGAGAAGGUUUUAAACAUGCUUGCAGACAUCGAAUAAUAAAUGCAUGGUAGGCUUACGGACAUGUCUAGAAUCAUCCGGUGCAAUGCUUUCAACCAACUUUGGCCCGGAUGAAAGAAACCCACGUCCUAGAGGACUGUAAGCAACAAUUCCAAUGCCAAGUUCCCUGAGCAGAGCAACCACCAAAAUUGCGUUAGCAUGCAAAUGUUAAAUCAUCUACUCAUAAUUUCUUUUCCUUUCAACUAGGUCAAAACAAUUCAUUUGGCCCAAAUAAUGUCUUACCUGCAAGUAGGAACAAUCUCUUCCUCCACAUCUCGUGACCACAAGGACCAUUCCAACUGCACAGCUGUUAUUGGAUGGACGGCGUGAGCUCGUCUAAUUGUUGAAGCAGAAGCCUCGGAUAGACCUAUAUACUUUAUUUUACCCUCUUCAACUAGUUUCUUGAGUUCCCCAAUCUUACAAAACAACACAAGUAAAAGAAUUAGUACAUGAUAACAGAAACCUCACCCACCGAAGUGACCCAUGUCUGUAUUUUUAAAUAUUCUGUGUUUCAUGUUCAUUGGCAGCCGAGCUACCCAGAGACUAACAGACUAAUAUAGUUUAACAUGCAUGAUUGAGACAAAUAUAUAAAUUAAAAGCGACAAACCGUGACUUCAAUGGGGACUUUAGUGUCAAUGCGAUGUUGGUAAUAAAGAUCAAUACAGUCAACAUCCAGACGCUUCAAGCUGGCCUCACAUGCAGCUCUUACAUAAGCAGGAUCCCCACAGAAUGAGUACUGGCCAUCCUCAUAUCUGAUACCAAAUUUAGUAGCCAAUUCAACUCUUCCUCUGUACCCUCCUUUCAGAGCCUAAUCCCAAAACCAAAUUAAUCAAAGUGAAUAUAUUAUUAUUUGCCAAUUCCAAACAUACCCUUUUGAAAUUAAAGGAAGGAAAUAGAAGAUAAAUUACAUUACCUUGCCCAGAAGGAUUUCAUUUGUGUGAGGUCCGUAAGCAUCGGAAGUGUCAAGUAAAGUGAUGCCACUGUCAAUGGCAUGGUGGAUCAAGGCUAUCAUAUCGGAUUCGGGCUUCGGGGGCCCGUAGAAGGCGGACAUGCCCAUGCAUCCUAAGCCUUGCGCUGAAACCUCUAGACCUUGUGAACCCAGCUUGAUUCUCUUCACUGCCCCCGCCAUUUCUCUUCUAUUAGCCUCUCAACUUUCUGUUGAGUGAGGUUGCUGUUUCUAAGCGAACAAUCUAUAUAUGUAGAUAUAUUGCUCUGCGGGCCUCUCAAAACUCGUAAUGCUAACGUAAUGGAAUAUGUUAGCAUUUACCUCAUUAACUUUACAAAAUCACACAAGAGAGUAGUUAGAUAAAUAAUCGAUACGUCAUAAUGUUAUUUAUUAAUUAUAGAAAAAAUGACAAACACAACUCUAACAUUUAGAUAAAGGGAUAAAAAUGUCUCUAACGUUUUGAAAAAGAAAUUUACACCUCUAUUCACUAAUGAAAACAAUUACUUUUAACGAAAAUAGUAAUUUUAAUAUAUAAUUACCGUUAUACUAUUUUAGCACAUAAAAAUAUAAUUAUUAAUUAUCUGAUUUGUCCAUAUAUUGUUAAUAAAAUUACAAAAAUACUCUCAUUGACCAAUUCCUCUAUUUAAUUUUUUAUCAAAUUAUCUCUUCAAGCCAAAUAAAUUUAAUCCAUUAUCAAUUUUUAUGUCUAUUGGAUAUGUUAUUUAAUACAAUUAAGAUAAGAUUUUUGUAAUUAUUGUUGUAACCAGCCCUUUUUAUUUUAUUUUGUUGAUUAUACAAGUUAAAAUGAUUGACAUGUAGAGAAUUGUUAUUCUUAUGGCAUUAAUAACUAAUUUUAUUUAUUUUUAUUCUUGAGUAAUGGAUUAAAUUUAUUUGGCUUGAUGAGAGAAUUUGAUAAAAAUUUAAACAAUUAUUUGAGCAAUGAGGGUAUAUUUAUAAUUUUAUUAACAAUAUAUGGACAAAUUGGACAAUUAACAAUUAUUUUUUUAUGUGUUAGAACGGUAUAACGGUAAUUAUCUAUUAAAAUUACUAUUUUCGUUAAAAAUAAUUGUUUCUAUUAGUGAAUGGGGACGUAAAUAUCUUUUUUAAAAUGUUAGAAAAUUUUUAUCCCUAUGUCUAAAUAUUGAGGGUGUGUUAGUCAUUUUCCCUUAAUUAUAUUACUGGCAUAAUGCUUCACAAAUAUUUUAAAAUCUUUCCAAUCGAACAAUUAAAAGUUGGCCCAAACUGGCGGCUAAGGGCUGUCAAAUUAACAAGAUGUGGGAGUAUGAUUUUAUCAUAUCAUGAUAAUGGAAGCACUUGAGAAGCCAGGUCUUUCAUGGGACCAAAAGAAAUAUUGGCUUCUACUCAAGUUGGUUGCUUCCUUGGCUUGAGACCUGUAAAGCUGGAACUUGUUCAACAAAGACUUGGCAAAAUCCAUUGCCUUUAAUCUGUUUUUAACAUAAAGUAUAAUAACAUGGCCAGUGGCAAAUUGGGAAUGUCAACUAGUAUCCACUAUUUAUUUGAUUAUUUCUAUGAUUUUAAGAUCUGCCCUUGGAAUCUGGACUUUGUGGUGCUGGAUGUAUUUGAUUAUAUAAAUGUACUAAUAUCGCUCUCAUGAGAUGAUUACUGAAUUUGAGUGGACCAAAAAAGUUAAAAGAUUAAUAAAUUAAUUAAAUUGGAGAUUUGGAGUCAUAAUCAAGUGUUUGCAUGGUGGUCGUGGAAAUAUUUUGGAUCCCACCGUGGAUUUACAAUAUAAAUGUUGAAGGCGCUGUUGAUCCCACUGUCCCACAUGGCAUGACUUUGCAACAUCUCAUCUGCUUUAUAUUAGAAAUCCUAGAAAUUAACCAGAUGUGGGAGUAAUAAUAAUUCUCCACUAAAAAAGCCAAAUCCAGGGCUGCGCCGGCUUCGCCUGCACCACGAGCAAAGGCCCACUUAUUUGCGUCACCCAUUACAGCAUCUGAUAUGGAUUAAACCCAAACACUUAAAGUAGGAUUUAGUUCAAAAAGUUUUAAUUUAAGUUGGAGUAUUUAUUUUUCUUUUUUUUCAAUGUUUAUAAUGAGGUUCAACAUUUAAAAUAAACAACAUAUUACUAUUAUUUUUAAAAUUUAAGAGGAAAAAUAGAAUUUGAGUUUUUGAGAAUGAAAUAUAUAGAGAAAUAAAAUUAUAUGGCUAUUGAAAUUUGAACCAAGUCUCUAAAAUCACUAAAAAGCACAAUUAUCACUAAAUUAUAAGUAUUUUGUUAUAUAAAAAAUAUGCCCAAAUUCUUUUUAUUUAAUUUUUUUAGAAAGAGCUCAGGGUACAUUUUAAAGGAAAAGUAAUGGUCUAGGAAAGGCUUCAUAAUUGCCCAGGAGGAGCCGCCCAUGACUGUCACUAUCUUUCAAAAAAUUUUGACAAAAAAAAGUAAUUUUUAUUUUUUUUUUGUGAAGCUUAAGGCCCUAUUUGGUAUUGUUUUCCAAAUGUUGUUUUCUUGAAAUAAAAAUAAGAAUGAAAAUGUUAUUUUUAAAUUUUAAAAUAUAUUUAGUAUCAUUUUUGAAUACUUAUCUAGUAUUUUCUGAAUUUAGAAAAUAAAAAAUUAGAUUUGAAAACAAUAUUGUACGCACCCUAAUAUUUAAAUUAUCUCUUUUGAACUAUCUGGCUCUAUAGCAAUUUGUAAGAGAAAUAUUGUCUUUUGAUCAUUCUAUUAUCUUAGAACUAGGGUCUAAGGUCAUGUUUGGUAUUGAAGUACUGCACCUUUUGAGUUACAAUUGUUAUGAAAAAAAUAUUGUAACUAUAAAGUAAAAGUUAAUAGUAUGUAAUAAAUAUAAUUUUUAAAUAAUAAUUUUUUAAAAAUUAGUAAAGAUAUAAUAAAUUUUUCAUCAUACAAAUAUAAAAUCAAAUCAACUUAGUUUUCAAGCUAUACCGGCCAGUGUUUACCAAAUACUUUAAUGCUAUUCUUUUUACCAAAUACUUUAGUGCUAUUCUUUUUACACUAUAGUCGUUCAACCUCAAUCCCAAAUAGGACAUAAGUAUGAAAAUCACUCGAUGAAUAAUCUUUUAAGUAUUUGAGUGAGAUAUUAUAGUGAUUUUUUUUUUCUAAAUACUUGAAAAUUAAUCUAAUCUGUAAUGAAAUUCUUGCAGACUUCUUGUCGUAACUAUAUUGUCAAUAAUGAUAGUCACAUGCUUACAAAUUUUUUAUGUGUUUUUUAAAGGAUGGGUAAAAUCCAAAUCAAUUUUUUUCUUAUAAUCUUUGUAGGAUUCGAACUCCAAUAGUCAGUCAAAUGAAACUAAUUAAAAACUGGUUAAAUCAAGUGCUUACAUGUAAUAACUAAAAUUAUAGAGAACUUAUAAAUACUUUUGCCCAGAAGGAUUUCAUUUGUGUGAGGUCCGUAAGAAUCGGAAGUGUCAAGUAAAGUGAUGCCACUGUCAAUGGCAUGGUGGAUCAAGGCUAUCAUAUCGGAUUCGGGCUUCGGGGGCCCGUAGAAGGCGGACAUGCCCAUGCAUCCUAAGCCUUGCGCUGAAACCUCUAGACCUUGUGAACCCAGCUUGAUUCUCUUCACUGCCCCCGCCAUUUCUCUUCUAUUAGCCUCUCAACUUUCUGUUGAGUGAGGUUGCUGUUUCUAAGCGAACAAUCUAUAUAUGUAGAUAUAUUGCUCUGCGGGCCUCUCAAAACUCGUAAUGCUAACGUAAUGGAAUAUGUUAGCAUUUACCUCAUUAACUUUACAAAAUCACACAAGAGAGUAGUUAGAUAAAUAAUCGAUACGUCAUAAUGUUAUUUAUUAAUUAUAGGAAAAAUGACAAACACAACUCCAAUAUUUAGAUAAAGGGACAAAAAUCCCCCUAGCAUUUUAAAAAAUACAUUUACACCCCUAUUCACUAAUGAAAACAGUUACUUUUAACGAAAAUAGUAAUUUUAAUAUAUAAUUAUCGUUAUACCAUUCUAGCAUAUAAAAAUAUAAUUGUUAAUUAUCUAAUUUUUCCAUAAAUUAUUAAUAAAAUUAUAAAUAUGCCCUCAUUGACCAAUUCCUCUGUUUAAUUUUUUAUCAAAUUAUCUCUUCAAGCCAAAUAAAUUUAAUCCAUUAUCAAUUUUUAUGUCUAUUGGAUAUGUUAUUUAAUACAAUUAAGAUAAGAUUUUUGUAAUUAUUGUUGUAACCAGCCUUUUUUUUUAUUUUGUUGAUUAUACAAGUUAAAAUGAUUGACAUAUAGAGAAUUGUUAUUCUUAUGGCAUUAAUAACUAAUUUUAUUUAUUUUUAUUCUUGAGUAAUUGAUUAAAUUUAUUUGGCUUGGUGAGAGAAUUUGAUAAAAAUUUAAACAAUUAUUUGAGCAAUGAGGGUAUAUUUAUAAUUUUAUUAAUAAUAUAUGGACAAAUUAGAUAAUUAAUAAUUAUUUUUUUAUGUGUCAGAAAAGUAUAACGGUAAUUAUAUAUUAAAAUCACUAUUUCCGUUAAAAAUAAUUGUUUCCGUUAGUAAAUAGGGGUGUCUUUUUUAAAAUGUUAUGAAAUUUUUAUUCCUUUACCUAAAUAUUGAGGGUGUGUUAGUCAUUUUUCCUUAAUUAUAUUACUGGUAUAAUGCUUCACAAAUAUUUUAAAAUCUUUCCAAUCGAACAAUUAAAAGUUGGCCCAAACUGGCGGCUAAGGGCUGUCACAUUAACAAGAUGUGGGAGUAUGAUGACUGACUCACAGCGGGCCUCACAAACUCGUAAUGUCAAUAAUGUAAUGGAAUACGUCUAGAUCUAAUGAACGAUCAAUUAAAUGGUUAUAUGUAAUAAUUAAUAUUAAAGAGAAUUUAUGAUUGCUACCAAAAAUAUAUUGAGGACAACUUGAAAAUCUACUACGGUCUUAUAAUUAAAAAAAAAUGAAUUUUUAGAGAAUAAUAAUUCUCCACUAAAAAAGCCAAAUCAAGGGCUGCGCCGGCUUCGCCUGCACCACGAGCAAAGGCCCACUUAUUUGCGUCACCCAUUACAGCAUCUGAUAUGGUCCAGGGAUGGCAAAAUUUUUCAGACCCGGCCCGGAUCCAGAUAAAUCCGGACGAUCCGGUCCGGGUUAAACCCGCUCUGGGUGCAUAAAAAUACAGAUUCGAGUAGUAUUUUUUUAAAUCCGGAUACAUGCGAGUCCGGUUGCGGAUACCCGGAUUCUGAGAACCCGGACCUGCACUACAGUAUUAAUAAUUAAUUAAUUAAUUUUUAUUAUUAAAUAUAAAUAUAAAAGCCAAAAGUUAAAAAAAAAAAAAGUAAAGAAAUGAAAAGAAACCCUAAAUCCCCACCCCAGCCACCACCUUUAUUGUCCUCUUCCUCGACAUCAAUUCAAUUCAUCAUCAUCCACCCAUCAUCAAUUCAUCAUCAACAAUAAUAACAAUCAAUAUCAUCCUCAACAUCAAUUUAAAUCAUUGUCAAUUCAUCAUCAAAAGCAACAAACAAUCUUUGGCACCAUCAAAUUCAACCUUAUCUCUCAUCUCUCAUCAAAUUCGAUCUCAUUUCUCUCUUGUUCUUGGAUGCUAGAUCUCAACCCUUGCUCGCUGCUCUCAUGGCUGCCGCCUCCUGGACUCGCUGGUGCCUCAACCGACACCUCAAAGAAACUGCUAAUCCACUCUUGCCGCCGCGCGAUCUCAUCUCUCUCUUGUUCGUGGAUGCUGGAUCUCAAACCUUGCUCACUGCUUUCAUGGCCGCUGCCUCCUGGACUCGCCAGUGUCUCAACCGACACCUCAAAGAAACAUCUAAUCCACUCUUGUACAGAGUCAAAAGGGGCAUGCAUAAAGGCUUCAUUGUUCCAGCCUCCAACUUUCCGGGUUUAAAGCCCGCAAUCGGGAAACCCGGAUUUUCCGGGUUGAACCCGUACCGGACCCGGAGAAAGAAAAUGCGGGUUUUUAUCCGGAGCCGGGAAGGAGAAUUGGCAUAUGGGUCCGGAACCGGAAAUACCAAACACGGACCCGGACCCGUUUUUGCCAUCCCUAGAUAUGGAUUAAACCCAAACACUUAAAGUAGGAUUUAGUUCAAAAAGUUUUAAUUUAAGUUGGAGUAUUUAUUUAUUUAUUUUCAAUGUUCAUAGUGAGGUUCAACAUUUAAAAUAAACAACAUAUUACUAUUAUUUUUAAAAUUUAUGAGGAAAAAUAGAAUUUGAGUUUUUGAGAACGAAAUAUGUAGAGAAAUAAAAUUAUAUGGCUAUUGAAAUUUGAACUGAGUCUCUAAAACCACUAAAAAGUACAAUUAUCACUAAAUUACAAGUAUUUUGUUAUAUAAAAAAUAUGCCCAAAUUCUUUUUAUUUAAUUUUUUUAGAAGGAGCUCAAGGUACAUUUUAAAGGAAAAGUAAUGGUCUAGGACAGGCUUCAUAAUUGCCCAGGAGGAGCCGCCCAUGACUAUCACUCUAUCUUUCAAAAAUUUUUGACAAAAAAAAGUAAUUUCUUUUUUUUUUUUUGUGAAGGUUAAGGCCCUAUUUGAUAUUGUUUUCCAAAUGUUGUUUUCUUGAAAUAAAAAUAACAAUGAAAAUGUUAUUUUUAAAUUUUAAAAUAUAUUCAGAAUCAUUUGUGAAUACUUAUCUAGUAUUUUCUGAAUUUAGAAAAUAGAAAAUUAGAUUUGAAAACAAUAUUGUCCGCAUCCUAAUAUUUUAAUUAUCUCUUUUGAACUAUCUGGCUCUAUAGCAAUUUGUAAGGGAAAUAUUGUCUUUUGAUCAGUCUAUUAUCUUAGAAUUAGGGUCUAAGGUCAUGUUUGAUAUUGAAGUACUGUACCUUUUGAGUUACAGUUGUUAUAAAAAAAAAUGUUGUAAUUAUAAAGUAAAAGUUAAUAGUAUGUAAUAAAUAUAAUUUUUAAAAAUAAUUUUUAAAAAAGUAGUAAAGAUAUAAUAAAUUUUUCAUCAUACAAGUAUAAAAUCAAAUCAAUUUAGUUUUCAAGCUAUAUCAGCUAGUGUUUACCAAAUACUUUAGUGCUAUUUUUUUUACCAAAUACUUUAGUGCUAUUCUUUUUACACUACAACCGUUCAACCUCAACCCUAAAUAGGACAUAAGUAUGGAAAUUACUCGAUGAAUCAUCUUUUAAGUAUUUAAGUGAGAUAUUGUAGUGAUUUGUUUUUCUAAAUACUUGAAAAUUAACCUAAUCUGCAAUGAGAUUCUUGCAGACUUCUUGUCGUAACUAUAUUGUCAAUAAUGAUAGUCACAUGCUUACAAUUUUUUUUAUGUGUUUUUUAAAGGAUGGGUAAAAUCCAAAUUAAUUUUUUUCUUAUAAUCUUUGUAGGAUUGGAACUCCAAUAGUCAAUCAAAUGAAACUAAUUAAAAAUUGGUUAAAUCCUUAGGUGGGCAAUCAAGUGCUUACAUGUAAUAACUUAAAUUAUAGAGAACUUAUAAUUACUUUUGUAAGCAACCCAAAGUAUAUUAAGACUAACUUGAAAUUCUAUCACGUCUUAGUAAAUACUCAAAAAAUUUACUUUAUACUGUUGAGAAAAUGAGUAAAAAAAAGCCAUGGAAUUCAAAUAGUGUCCUCAAUAUUAUUGUGAAUACCUAUCAGCAUUGAUUAAUUAGUCCAAUGGCUAUUUUUUUUUAGAAGAUAAGCAUGUAUUUGAUAUUAUUUAUGUUUUGCUAUUUUUCAUUUUCCAAGAAAAAAAAACAGUGUAAAAUUUGUUUGGUACACUUAUUUUAUGAUAUUUAAUUUCAAGUAAGAAUGUUUAAUCUCAUUCUCUAACUUUAGAGAAGAAAAUUGGACAACAAGACAUUCAUGAUUUUCAAUUUUCAUUUUUUAAAUGGGUACUACAAGUACCACUUGAACAACAACAAAAUAAAAAUCAUGUCUGUUAUUAUGUGGGCCCAUUACCAAUAUUUAUUUUAUAAUCCAAUUCUAAUUAUCUUUAAUACUUUUUAAUUAUUUUUUAUUCAACAAUACUAAUUGUAUUAUUUGGUAAUUUUUAAAAGGUUGUCUAUUAGUAAAAUUUAUUUAUUAUUUAUUCUAAUAUUAAUGAUACUCCCUAAAAAUCAUUUUAUCUAAUUUUUUAUAAUUAAAAAUUUUAAAUAAUAAAAAGUAAUUGAAAUUUCAAAUAAUAAAAAAUUAAUUGAAAUAUAUUAUGAUUAAAAAUAAUUUUAGUUCAUCUAAAUAUUAUAUCAUAGUAUGUAAUUUUUUUCUCACUCUCUUUUACCGUCUUCACUUUUUAAACAACUCAAACAUUUUCAAAUUUUCAUUUUAUAAGUAUAUUUUAGAAAGAAGGCUCUUUCUAUUAUGCCUUGAUUAAAGUAACGGUAUCAAUACUGUAAUUAAACAUAAUUUAUGUAAAUAAAAUAUAAAACUUGUAAAUCAAUAUUAAUUGUAAAAUACAUAAAUUUUAGAAAUUAAACAUAAAACUUGUAAAUUGAAGGUAAAAUGAGUAAAUUAAUAUAAAACUCGUAAAUUGAUAUAUUAUUAGUAAAUAAAACAAAAAUUUGUAAUAUAACAUAAAACUUGUAAAUUAACCUUAAGUGCAAAAUAAAGCACAAAUGUAAAUGGAGGAUAAAACAAGUAAAUUAAUAUAAAACUAGUAAAUUAAUGUAUUACUAGUAAACAAAACAAAAACUUACAAAUAUAACUUAAAACUAGUAAAUCAACAUUAACAAUAAAAUAAAGGGUCACCCUAUGUUACGUUGAGUGUAACAUACACACACUCACAGCAACAGUAACAAGUCUCAUCAUUAACACUGUUGCUGUGAGUGUGUGUAUGUUACACUCAACGUAACAUAGCAGUGGCCUAAAAUAAAACAUAAAUUUUGGAAAUGAAGUAUAAGACUUGUAAAAGGAAAGUAAAAACAAGUAAAUUACUAUAAAAUUAGUAAAUUUAUGUAUCAUUAGUAAGUAAAACGAAAACAUACAAAUAUAAUAUAAACCAAGUAAAUCAAUAUUAAGUGCAAAAUAAAACAUAAAAUUUGUAAACUAUGCUCAAAACUUAUGAAUAAAAGGUAAAAUAAGUAAAUUAAUCUAAGAGUUACUAACAAAAAAGCUCUUAUAAACUAAAAACUCAUUAUAAUAUUUAUUACCUUAUAUAUUUAAUGAUUUUUUAAAAAUUAAAUUGCAUAAUGCUAGUUUUUCAUUUAUGUAGUACAUGUGAUGUUUUAUUAAGGAUGAAAUUUAUUCGCAGAAUUGGAUUUUGAAAAAAAAAACUAUUUUAAUAUCUUUUAUAGUUGUUGUAACAUGAGAUUAUUUUGCAUCCUUCUACACUUCUGCAACAACAACCAUAAAUGGUCUCUUAAGUACAAGUAAAAAGUUUGAAACUAGGGGUGGGCAAAAUCGGGUUCGGAUCGGGUUCGGAUCAACCCGAUCGGAUUUCGGGUUCAUCGGGUUGGAGAGAAACUCAUCCGAACUCAACCCGAAUUUUAGAUCGGAUCGGAUCGGAUCGGGUUAUAUUCGGGUCGGGUCGGAUCGGAUCUAAAAUUCGGAUCAAUUUCGGGUCAAUUCGGGUUAAGGACAAAAAAGAGUCAUUUGUGUUAAUUUUGGGUUGUUUAAUAAUUAUUUAAUAAUUACAAGAUCACUUUUAUGCAAUUAGUUCAUUUUAGUCCAUUUCCACUUUCCAGUGACUGUCAUAAAAAAAAAUAAACUGAAAUAGAAUUGAAAAAGUUGUGAGCUUGGAGGACUUGGUGUCAUGAAUCUCAGUCUCGGUCUCGUUGGAAGAACAACCAUGGAUCGCUUCGCGCGGGUCAAGCAGCAGCCGAUGGAUCAAGCGGCAACGGGUUUCGUCAAUGGCUCAUGGCUUCACGGGUUUUGUCGGUGGCUACCAGAAAAGCAGAUCCGAUCGAAGUGAAGUGCAGCAACCGUCGAUGCAGCAGCAAGCAGAUCCUGUCGUCAGUGCAGCAGAUCUGGUCGAGUGGUGUGCUGCAUGUGGCCCGCUGCUGUGCUAACCGUCUGUAGUUUUGUUGCGAGAAAGAAGAGAAAGAAGACAGUGAAGAGAAAAAAGAGAGUUGUUUGUGUGAGUUGUGAGAAAGAAGAGAAAGAAGAGAGUGAAGAGAAAGAACACGGAGAGUGAGAAAGAAGAGAAAGAAGAGAAAGAAGAGAGUGAAGAGAAAGAUUUAGGUUUUUUUAGGUUGUUUGUGUGUGGCGUGUGUGUUUAGAUUUAGGUUUUUUUGUUUUUAAAGCAACCCGAUCGGGUUUGCGGAUCGGAUCGGAUUUGACCCGAUCCGAUCACAACCCGAUCGGGUUUCACCAUCUUCAUCCGAUCGGGUUUCCUUUAUAACCCGAUCCGAUCCGAAUCUGAAAUUUUUCGGAUCGGGUCGGAUCGGAUCGGGUCGGGUCGGAUAUUUUGCCCACCCCUAUUUGAAACUACAUGAAGCAUACAUAGAACUCAAAAUUAGAUAUAAUUUUAUUGAUAUAUCAUAUAUGUGUCCAGUAAUAUGAGAAUAAUUAUUUAUUUAUUUAUUCAUUUGCUUGAUCCACGUCAAGAUAAAUAAUUGCACUUAAUUAACUUGUGUAAUAAACAUAUAUCAUUAUAGAAAAUGGGAAAAAUUAUACAAAUGUCAUUAAAUAAAUAUAGAAUUUAUGGUUAAACCAAUUCAAUAAAAUAUAUUUAACUUUUUUUGUACAAUUUUUGUUUAAUUAAUGAGUAAUUUUUUCUUUAUAUUUUUGUAAAUGAAUAAAAUAUGUUUCACUAAAAUUGUGCAGAAGCAAUGUUAAUUUUUUAAAUAAUUAAUAAUCUUGUACGAAGUUACUUGUUUUACUUUAUAUUUACUAAUUUUAUAUGAAACUAGUAAAUAUAAAGUAAAGCAAGGAAAUUCAUACAAGAUUAUUAAUUAUUUAAAAAAUUAUAAAACAUUAUUUGAAUGGCAAUACCAAUUGCACCCUAGUCCGUACAAUUUCACGUCAUUCAAUGUUGAUAACGUGGCUGGCACAAAGGCCAAAUCAGAGGCUGCGCGGGCGUCACCUGGGCCUUUGCCUGGAUCCUACCCUUCGCAAGCAAAGGCCCACGAUUAUGUAUCACCCAUUAAUCCUUCUAGAGAAUCUGCUAUAGAUGUAAAUGGACCCUCAUUCUCAUUUUCACUGUUUUGAUUUUUCAAAAUUCCUUUUUUUUUUUUUGAAGUUUAAUGCAUUUUAUUAUCUCCCUCAAACUAUUUGGCUAUGGUAAUUGGCAAGGGGAAAAUUGUCUUUUAACCAUUCUAUUACCUUAAGACAACGGUCAAGUAUUGGAACCAUGGUGAAUCAUUUUUUAGGGAUUUCAGUCAACUUAUAAACAUUAUAGAGAUUGAUUUUUUUUUUGCGAAAUAUUCGAAAAUAAAUGCAGCACUAAGAGGUUCUUGUAAACUAUUAAAUUCAAAUCAAUAAAAGUAGCAAUAAUAGCGUAAGUCCAGAAUCUAUCAUAUAUCAAUACCACUCUCAUACAGUUGUUGUUAAAUCAGGCCUAAAAAAUAUAUAUUUUUUCUUUAAUUUAAUAAAAUUAUCAAAAGUCAGAUUUUUUUUUCUUGAUUACAUAAAAAUGCAUAAAAUUAGAGAAACGCCUUAAAUUUCCUAUUGAAGAUUUGAAGACAACUACUUUAAUUUUUUCCACUACUAUUAUUGGGAUCUGUAGGAUAUGGUUGUAGUUUUCUCGACUAUCAUCAAUAGUCUCCCUCACACAUGAGGGCAUAUAGAGAACUCUAAUUCCCAUUUCCUCUUCUUUAUAUAGGCAUUUAUUAAAGUCAAGAUAUAACUAGAAACUAAGCUAACAAAGGGUAUCCAUGAACUUCCUAAAUCCAACUUCAUAGGUAAGUCUCAGUCAUAUUAUGACUCCCUAAAAUAACUAAGUUAACCCUAAGCUAUUCUACUAAAAGUCCGAUGUUGCACUCUAAUGAACCAUGUAACAAAUAAAAGCCUAAUUAAUUAAGAUUUCUUUUAAUUAAUAUUAGACAUGAUUUUAAACCAAUAAUUACCACUUAAUUGACUCUUUAUUUGAUAAUCUUAAUUAAAUCCAGCCCAUGAUAAAUGUUCUUUCUUUGUAAUUACAUAUAUAUCCCUCGGUCACUAUUUAUUCUAACUAUCACUGUUAAUAUAUUUGUAAAUAGAUUACAAAUAAAUGUUAUUAAUUAAUAAAUAAUUUAUUGAAUAAAUUAUAACCACAGAUUUAAAUGAUCAAUAUAGGGAUGGCAAAAUGCAAGCUUAGACUAGGCUUUUUCAAGCCCGUUAGAGGGAAAGUAUAAGGGGUAAGCUUGGGCCGGGGUUGGGUUAGGUUGGGCUUUCACUUAUUUUUUUCAUUUUAAUUUUUUUUUUUAAAAAACUUGAAAUGAAUUAAUAGUCAAUGAGUUGUUAUAAUCGGCAACGAAAUAAAGAAAAUGAAUGUUUCAAAAUAAAAUAAUAAAUAAAGAAAACACAACAAAAAAAAGUGUAGAGAUUUAAAUUUUUUAAUACUAGAUUUUUUAAUUCAAGUAUCUUCUUAAUUAAUUAACAUUUAAAAGAGAGUUUAUUAUUAUAAUUUUAGAUUUUUUGAUUCAUUAUUGAUAUAUAAAUUAGGGACUUAAGCUUUCUUUUUUUUUUUUCCAUUAUUUCAUAAAAUUUUAAUUUAUUAUUCAAAUUUCUAAUUUAUUUUUUGAAAAAAAAUAGAGGGCGUGUGCUUAGAUUUGUUUUUACUUAAGCCCUUAUCCAGACCGUUCAUAUGGAGGCUCGAGCCAAAUCUCAUAGCAAUGGGCUGGGCUCAUCCCUAUGAUCAAAUACUACAAAUAGCUUAGGUAAGCAUCAUUUGUAUAGAUUCCAUCUUGUAAGUAUAUAUAUUUCUAUAAUCCAUGAAAUUAUAUCUCCAAAUUAUUAACGUUUUGACCGUUUAUACAAAUCUUACUUUGUGACGACUCAAAAGACAUAAUACCUGAAUGUGCGCUAGACUCCUUUACCCUUUAUUAGCGUUAUAUUACCCACUCAGGAUUAAGAUCGAUCAAGCUUAUUAAAGCUUGUAUAGAUUAUGAUUAGCAACAUAUGUUAGAUUAGAUCAUAAUUCAUUACAAUCUUGUUCAUUACAUAUAUAUCUCAUAUACAUACUAAUUUUUCUACUUGAAGUCUCUACUUCAGUGAUUAAGAUAAAGUUACUUAACAAUAAAAAUACAAAAUAUACAGCCUUAUAAAAUAAAAUAACAUUUCAUUAAUGGAUGUGAAUAAUCUUUUAUUUAUAAAGAAUUUGUGAUUUUUAUCUUCUAUCUUGACAUCAUAUGUCCAAUAUAUAAAUCAAAUACUUUAUAAAUAAGGGCUAAUAAUGUAUGCUCAAAUAAAUAAUAAAUAAAUAAAUUUUAAUAAAUUUAGAAAUUUUUAUUUUAUUGCAUGCUGUAAGAGUACAAAAUAAUAAUAAGUGUAAUAGUAAUUAUAUUGUCAAUAAUGAUACUCAAAUACUUAUACCUUUUUUUUUGUGUUUUUUUAAAAGUAAAGGGUGGUAAUACCAAAUCAGUUUUUUCGCAUCUAACCUUUGAGGAUUCGAACUCUAAUUACCAAACAAAUAAAACUACAUGGAAAUCAGCUAAGCCUAGGGGCGGCCAAUCAAAUGCUUACAUGUACUAAGCAAAACAAAAGAGAACUUAUAAUUACUUUUGUAAACAACAAAAAGUAUAUUGAGACUGUUUAAAAAUCUAUUACGCCCUAGUAAAUACUCUAGAGUCUACUCCAUAUUAUUGAGGAAAAUGAUUGAAAAGAAAAAAAUGGAAUUCAAAUUAUUAUCCUCGGUAUUAUUGAGAACAACUGUUACCAUUGAUCUACCAGCCCAAUAGCUAUUAUUAUUAGUUUUAUAUUAUAAUUCUCUACUGAAAAAUACAAUAUUAUCUCAUUUAGUGUUGAUGUAUGUGGCACAAAAACCAAAUCAAAGGCUGCGCCACCUUCACCGGGGCCCUUGCCCAGGUCCCACCCACCACAACAAAAGGCCCGCAAAAAAUUGUUUAUAUUAUAUAUUUAUUGGGUAGUGAAUGGUGAUAUUUUUUAUUUCUUAAAAUACUAAUUAGAGACCAGGUUUGCCCAUACUCGCAUGUGUAAGAGAGAAUCCAUUAUUGAGAAGAAAUUAUCAGUUGGAUUUAGGAGGAGUUAUUUAUGAACAAUAAACUUUUGGCCAAAUAAUCCAAAUAUCAAACAAAUUUGAGGGAAUGCAAAGUGUAGACGAGUAAAAAUUCAAUAAAUGACUAAAGAUUCAAGAAAACAUGAGUAUUAUAAAAUUGAUUAAAUUCAUAUUGUGUUUGAAGAUGGAAUAAAACACCAGUAUAAUUGUUUUCAAAUAAUCAUAUGUCUAUAAUUGUAAUUUAUGUUAUUGAUAUUUUAGUAACAAUUAAGUUUAUUAAAAUGUGAGUUUAAUGAGUAACCUAGAGGGUUAAAUAGCCUCAACCUUUAAAAGGUGUCAAAAGGCUACUCUUUGUAUAAUAUAAUAUACUCUACUGAAACUAACCCACUUAAUACUAAAAAUUAACAUUGUAAUGUUUUCUGAAUUAUUUUAGUGUUCAAUAUCGACAAUCAUGAUGUUUUUGAAUGAAAUAUACAACAUGUUUAUAAUGUAAAAAAGAAGUCAGGGUUAUAUGAUGUAAGAAAUUGUUGAACUAAUACAUGUAUAGAUGUAAAUAGGGUAGCAAAAUGAAUUCAUGAAUUAGGUUAAAAGUCGGUAAAUUCAAUAUAAUGAAUUGGGUUAGAAGUUUGAAACUCCAAAGUUUCUAACUUCGAUGUUUAAAUUACAAAUUCAUUAACAAUAGAAUAAAUGAACCAUCCUAACUCCAAAAUUUCAACCGAACCAGUGAGCUUAAAUCCACAUUCAUAUUUUAAAUUAAUCCACUGGUUCGUUUGAAAUUACAAAUCCAUUAACAUUACAAUUAAAAUCCUCAAAAUAAAUAUUUUGAACUAGUGAGACUUUUUUUUUUUUUUUUGCAUAAUUAUAUUUAUUGCAUCAUUCAAUAAAUGGAUCUUCAAAAAAUAAACAAAUCAGUGCGACAUUCAAUUUGUUCACUUAACAAAUUCAAUCAAAAUGGUCCAUUUAUUAGACGAAUUAAUUUUUCAAACCUAAAUGCUUUUAAUUCAAAUAGAAUCAAAUGGAAUCAAUAAAUCAUGAUCUAUAUUAUCACCCCUAGAUGUAAACCCUUUUUAUGAGAAAAAGGGUGUUUAUAUGAUAGAGAAACUGUUGAAUUAUAUUUUUAAAGGGUAAUUUUCAGAAACCUCCCCUGAGGUUUGGGGUAUUCUCACCUUGAUAGAAUGUAUUCACGUAUUCUCAGUGACCUCCCCUCACGUUAGUAUUCCCAUUCUUAGACUGUUUGUUGACUGACAAAAUGUCUAAAAUACCCUUGACUUACGAAAAACAUAUUUUUCAUGUUCAAAACAGUGCAUUGUUGGUUGAUAGCAUUACAUCUGUUUUGGCGCCAAAGGCUAUAAACACAAUAAAGUUACCAGAUCAUUCUCAUCCAUUCCCAAAAUAAUUUACAGCUGAAUUAGGGUAAAAAAAUUAAAAAUAAAUUUAGAAAUUAUAAUUGUUACUGCCAAUAUUUAUGUUUGUUGGCUAUAUAAUUAGCCAUUGCCAAGCUCAACAAACAACAAAGCCUCUGCUACUCAUAACUAAAGCUUUCUUCUUCCUUCAACAUUAUCAAAACAUCACUACCAAUAUCCUCUCAUACCUCCAUAUCAACCAUGCAUCUACAAACUCUUCAAAAAUCAUUCAAAUCUCACCACUUUCCAAUCAUUAUUCAAAGUUGGAACACCUAUGCAUGUCAAUGUAUUCUCAAAGAACACUCUUGCUGCCAAAGCUGCUGCUGCAGGAUUAACUAUCGACUAUCUCUUUAGGCUUGGGUUAGUUGCCCUUUAUUAAUAAAAAUAUCGUAUUAGUAUGCAAUUUAUAGUGAAUAUAAGUCAUGGAAAUAUUGUAAACACAUACAUAAGUAGAUUCAAACAAUCGUGGUUCUACUCGUUAAACACUGUUAUGCUACAAAACAUACUACAAUAUACUUGAUUUCAACAGUAGUAGCAACUUAUAUUUCUAUUCAAUCUAACAACAUUUUGCAGAAAUUUUAAUGCAAAGAGACUACGUAUAACAGAACUAAGAUUUUAUUCAUAACAGAAAUAACAAGCUAUUGCCAAUCAUCAAGUCAUUGCAGUUGAUCUAUCACAAAAUUUAUAUCUUUUUUUUUUUUCUUGUUUUAACAUUAUGGAACCAUUACUUUAUUAUUUCAAUGUACACCAAUAUUAAGCCCUAUCAUGCAGCUUCAUUAUUGACACUUUCUAUUGAUGAAAUUAAAACUGAUGAACAACCGAAAUAAAACAUUUAUGUGAAUCUUAAAGACUGAACACACUGACCCAACACAAAAUGGUUGGCAACCAUCUAACACUAUAGAACACAGUUGAUGAAGAUAACCUUUCAAAUGAAUUUUGUAUUAACAUGUUGCUGCAUACAUAUAUAAUCUUACAACUUUAUGGAAAAUCACACUAAAUAUGAACAGAAUCUUGGAUUUUCUAAAACUAGAAAAUCUCAAUAAUACAAAAAAAUCUAAUGUCCUUAAAUAUUACAUUUACUCCUAAUGGUUAUAAAUUCAACCAAGGCAUGUCAAAUACCAAAAAGCUAUCCGCGAAAAGGAUUGAAGCAUUUUCUUUUAUAGAAUACUAAUUACAAACUUCAAUUUAUUUUCAACAUGCAUUUGGGUUACUCCAUUCACUACAACUAACAUUAAUUGAUGACAAAAAUAAGAAGCAUCAGCCAUAUUCUCAAUCAAUUUUGAAGAUCCAUUUUCAUAUUUUACUCAACUUAUCAACAAAGCAAACAAAAACUAACAUGCACUAAAAGUUCUUCAUACAUACCUCAUCCGUGGCUUGGAAAAAGUAAGGUAUUAACUGGUAGCCCACGAAACUCACUGGUCGGUACUCUCUGACCUCGCGGCCUUAAAUCGUUCAUCGCCCGUAUUGGAGUCCUCAACUUCACCGUCAUGGUCCUCAAUUUAUGGGCAAAGUGCUUGAUGAAAGUAUAAGAGAGAAAAAUGAAAUAGAUUUUAAGCUUGGUUGCUUCGGCUUUGGCAGAGGAAAGAGAUGAUAACUUUUCAUUUUGUAUUAAUAUUUGUUGAGCAAAAGCAUGUUUCAGUAUACAGGGUACAAAAGCAUGUUUCAACUUAUUACCCUAUGGAUAUUAACAAAGUUCAAACCAAUUUCAAAGCCCAAGGUGAAAAUAUUAAAUUUGUUUGAAUUUUUUUUAUUUUUAAUUUAUUUAAUUACGAUCCUACCCUUGCAUGCUUAACUUAUAUGAAACGGAAUACUAACAUGAGGGGAGGUCAUUGAGAAUACGUGAAUACAUUCUAUCAAGGUGAAAAUACCCCAAACCUCAGGGGAGGUUUCUGAAAAUUACCCUAUUUUUAAAUAUGUUAUAUAUUAUUGAUUUAUCUGUCAUUUUACUGUAGAGUGAAAUUGUAGCAAUAAAAAAUUGAGUAAAAUCUUUAAAUUUAUAUUUUUCAUGACUCACCGUAGAUUCUGGUAUUUCAUAGAUUAAUUCUUUAUUGGCUUAAAAAAAAUCCUACCCAAACUUAAAAAAAUUAAGCUAAUAUAGACCUAACAUAAAAAGAAAUAAAUAAGAUAUAUAAUACAGAAUUUUGUAAAUUAUUUUUAAUGUUAAAUACAAGUAUUUUAAUAUUAUUGAUCUGCAAAAUAGAUUUUAUUAAAUUAAAACAUAUAUGAUAGAUUAAUAAUAUUAAAUUAAUUUUUUUAUUCAAAACAAUUUAUAAAAUAUAUAAAAUUUAUAUAUUAUAUUAUUUUAAUAUUAUAUUUUGUAUCUAUCUAUCAUAGAAGUUUAUUUAAAAUCAAUUUUUGGAUUGUUAAAAUCGAUGUGUAUAAUCAUAAAAAAAAAAAAAUUUGUGUGAUUAUUUAUUAAACCAAGGAGGUCUAUAGCAACAUUUAUGUUCCCAAGGGGGUAUAUAUGCUUUUUUUCACUGAUUUUUAGAUGAAUUAAUUCUUAAAUGUAUCUAUUUAUCAUUUACUGCAAAGAAGGUGAUCAAAUUAACCAUAAAAAAUACCCAAUGAAAUGUGUGAAAUGCCUGAAAGGUAAUAGGAACUGUCAAAAAUAUUUGUACGGAUUGGACUAGGCAAUGCGGGCCAAUAAUAUCUAGUCCAAAGAUGAGGCCGGACCAAGUUUAAGUUUUACUUGAUAAAUUCAGAUCCGUUCCAAAACCUGAAUUUUAUGAAAAAAUAUUAUAAAAUACAUUAUUUUAAAUAAUUAUAUUUAUUUGACCCGUAGAUUAUACAUAUUUAAAAUUUUAAAUAUUUAAAGUUCAUAUUUGAAAAUCCAAAUUCAUUAAAUAAAAUUUAAAAAUUAUAAACUAAAAUAGGUCCCUACAGUGCAACCCGGUUAAGUCGAAAGCCAUCCCAGCCUGGGCCAUUUGGGUCUUUGCAUUAACCUCAAAAGGAUAAAAAGCGCAUGAGGUAUAGGUUUUAACCGAGAGAACUUCUUGCGCAAUUCAUGCCGUUAUGCUUUUAUGACCAGAAAUUGUUUCUUGAUUUGAUUUCCAUUUCAAAUUGUUUCUUGAUUUUUAUUAAUAUGACGUGGGACCUGUCUAUGGUACAGAUUCUGUAACAAACAUCUCCCGACAUCCCACCAUCUGAUUUUCUAUUGUUUAGUUUCUCAGUCCACAUCCAACCACAUCCAACGGCUGAUGCUGCAGUCUGUAGCUUACAGAUUCUGUAAGCUAGUCAAGUCCUAUGAGGUGAUUGCAAAUAUACAUAUAUAAUAUUAUAAAAUAUAAAUCUGGAUUUUUUAAGCCCAUUAAAGAAAAUCCAUUUGGGGCCGAGUUUUUAAGCCCAACCUCAGUGUUCAAAAAAACAUGCUUGGGCCAAAUUUGAGUAUUGCCAUAUCCGGGACCGACUUGAGUUUUUACCAUGACUAAGCAUAAUCAAUUGGUUGAAAUAAUUUAAUUUCCGGUAAAAUGAUGUGAAAAAUUGUGAAUCAAUUUGGUAAUCUCGUAGAGGCCACUUUGUAACACAGCAAAAGUAUUCGAUUGAUCUGAAAUCAUUGAAUAAUUUUCUGUUAGAGGAAGGAUGUCACGUGCAACAACAAGAAACAUAUAAUGCUACAAUAAUUUAGAUCAACAAUAAUAUUUAGGAUCCUAACAUUUGAGUCUCAACUUGACUCUCAAUGAUAUGUGUCACUCAUCAAUUGAAUAAUGAAUGUAAUAUUUAGUAAAAUUAUUUAACUACCAUUCAAUCGAUGAAUUCCACGUCAGUAGGAACUCAAAUUAUGACUUAUGUUGGGACAUCUACCAUUGCUCUUCGCAUCAGUGGUGAGGCUCCAAGUGGGCUGGGAAAUUUUUGGAAAGUUUACAAAAAUGUCAUAAUGCAAAGUUUAUAAAUUUGCCACUAUUUUAUUUACAGUAGUACCACUCUAUUAAUUUACCACUUUAUCAUUCAAAUAAAUAUAUAGAAAAAUGGGAGCAUUUACUUCAUUCAAGAUUCCAGAACGUGCUUCUUCAAUUCUUCGUCUUCUUCUUGACAAGAAUAGAUAAUAAAUUUAUUGUUUAUUCAAUCAUUUACAGUACACUUAUUAAUUGUUAGGUAGUAAAGACUAAAGAUUAUAUUAUUUAAUUCUUGUUCCAAUUUCAUUGUGUAAAAUUAAAUUAUUGUUGGGUCAAAUGAAGAUAAUUUAGCCAUUAAAUUCUAGCAUUCAAAAAUUUAAAUUAAUUAUUAAUAGAUUAGAGAUAUUUGAAAUUGAUUAUUGAUAGAGAUGGAUCAUAGAUUCAAUUCAGUACAUUAUACAUAAAGUUAAUUUGUUAAUUAAACUUAUUGUUUGGCUUCUGGAUAGUGUUAAUGUGUCGUAGUGACAGAUUGACGGUUCUAUGGCUUUUAUUAGUAAAUUUAUGAUUAUUUCUUCUAACUUCUUUUAUAUUUAUACCCUGUUUUGACUGAAACACCCAAACGAGCAUAGACCCGGCUUCAAAAUAAGGAAGAAAAGGAAUUUUUAUCAAAUUGUAUAGUUAUCUACGUUAAAAGAGAAUUUGUAAACACCGUCAAUUUAAAUUCGAUAAUAGAUGGAUUUAAUUCUCGAAAGUAUGGUAAGGCACAAACUUAAUAGUGUUUAAUUGUGACUAAAUUACUUCUUAGAUAUGAUAUAUUUUCUUAUGUAUAACAAAAUUUUCUUUCAAAUUUAUAUUUUUAACCAAGAUAAUAUUUGGAUUUGGAAAAAAUUUAGCCUACCCAAGAUAUUUUUUCUGGCUUCGCCCCUGAUUCAGAUAAUCUAAACUUCCAGAAAUUUCAGAUAAAUAUUACUCCAUUUUGAUUUGUUAUUGUUUCUCAUAUAUUUGCAUAAACACAUUACAUUGUUUUUGUGCUCACUGCAGAAGAUACAAUGAUUUAGUUUUACUUACAACACUGCAUAGGAACUCAAUACAAUAUUCACUAAAUGCUUGUGGAAAGUGCAGAAAGGUACUGAUAGGGUCUCGUAUGAGAACACAAUGAUUUUACCCACAACAGAACCUAGGAACUACAUGCAAUUGCAAAAUCGGUACUAAGAAGCAGAAUACCAAUGCCCUUUAUGAAGGUUUCCACGAAGACAGAGGUGGAGUUUCAGAGUCUUCGUAGGUAGGAGUGACACCCCCAUACCGAUGAACCCUUACAGCAUCUGCUGAAGCAAUGGAUUCAAGCUCAGCCAUUUCUUCUGGAGAAAGUUUCACUGACAGAGCUUUAAUAUUUUGAUUCAGGUUUUCAAUCUUAGUGGUUCCAGGAAUCGGACACACGUCAUUUCCUUGGUGAUGAACCCAUGCUAAUGCAAGCUGAGAUGGGGUGCAUCCUUUCUUUACUGCUAUUUCAUUAACACGUUCAAAUAGCUUUUUGUUAUGCUCUAAAUUUUCAGGUUGGAACCUCGGUUGAUGCUGCAAGAUUUAGAAAACAGCUCAGUACCAAUACUGAACUGCAAUUGAAUCAUUAAAAAAAAAGAACAUCAUUUUGGAUAAAGCAUGAUUUUAGAGGAGGUUUAUGUAAAAUUCAAUAGACCAGAAAACAAAGAAAAAGGACUAGGCGGGGACUUCUCCUAGGUGGAGGAUGUUUAUAGUAAAACAUUUUGGCAUGUUAGACAAAGGUCUCACAAGAAAUAAACUCUCCUUGGACUUGUCAAUUGAUUUCACAUUGACGUGCAUAGGCAAAGCAAUAUAUAACAAAAAUGGAAACUGCCACAAGGAUGUAGAAGUUUGGAAGAGUCGUUACAGCUAAACUUCUGGAGCAUCCAGUAAUAGUUUUGAGGUAAUGGAACAAUUUUUUUCCCUCAUUUUUUUUUCACCUCUAUACAACUUAAGGGGUAUUAUCAUGUAUAUAAAUUGAAUCAGUCAUGUUAAAAUUUUCUGUCCAUCAAUGAAGUCAUUGCAUAGAUAAUUCCUCAGAUUUUCAAUGCAAAGAAAGCUUUUGCUCAUAUUUGAGGAGGUUAAUGAACAUAAUCUGAGGGAAACAAUUGAAAUCUAUGAAGAAUUUCAGAGCUAUAGAGUAAAACUAAACAAGAAUUAUUAUUGUAUUGCUAAAUGAGAAUGAAUGUGUAAUAAAGAACACAAGUAAUGCAAAUAUGAUGAAAGUAAAAAUACAUGAUUAGUAAACACCAAACAUUUAGCUAAUGAUGAAUAAGUUUUGGUAGACAAGUCACUUCAAAAAGGAUUACAGUGUAUUCAGUCCUUAGUAAUUGAAUUUUCAUUUUUCCUCAAUCCUCUCCAUGCAAUCCAUACACAGGCAACUUCAGUGUAAUUAGUCGAUCGAAAUGAACUAGUAGAAUAUCUAAGAAAGAGAAUUCUUAAACAAGUCCUCCUGGGUUAGGUUAGAAUAACUAUAACUAUGGCUCUAGAUAAAUAUCAGAGGUUUAUAAGAUAAAAUAGUAUGCAAGUCACUGUAGAGUAUCUUGAGAGAAGGUUUUAAACAUGCUUGCAGACAUCGAAUAAUAAAUGCAUGGUAGGCUUACGAACAUGU